rnacentral:lncRNA from 1 species
UUUUUUUUUUUUUUUUUUUUUUUGUUUAAUGUCUGUUUCCAUUCAUGUCCCCUUUGAAGUUACGAUGCCUUUGAUAAAAAAAUACUUUUAAAUAUUAAAAAUAUUUUUAAGGCAUUUGAUAAAUAUCAUUUGAUAAAAUUAGGAGUAGAACUUUUACUAUUGAAAACACUUUUUGCAAAAACUCAAAUUUGAUUCUUUUAAAAUAACUUUUGUAAUUUAAAAAAUAAAACAUUAAUUUUAAUCAUUUUAUCAUAUAUUAGCCACUAAAUAUAAAAAAAUAUAUUUAAACUUUUUUAAAUUAUAUAUUAUUCAAUAAAAUAAAUACUUAUUGAAUUAUAUUUUCAAAUAAUAUACUUAAAAAGUAUUUAAACACAUAAUAAGUAUUUUUAUUAAAAAUUUUAUUUAAAAAAUAUUUUUUUAAUAAGUUACUACGAUCCAAAUGGGCCUCAGUAUUUAUGAGUUUAUCUAAUUUUUGACCUAAAUUAGAGCUGGCAAUUUGUCCCAAGUCCCAAUGGGCUACCCAUGCCCAAAGGAACUUUGGGCGGGAUGGGUAUUAUAAUUUGGUAUUGGGUUUAAGUUGGGACACAUCCCAACUAUACCCAUUAAUGAAUGGGAAAGGAUGGGAAAUACUUGGGUACCCAUUGGGCUCAAAUGGCAAGGGCUCCGUUUGGAUUAGCUAUUUUUGGUAGGUGUUUUUGAAAUAUUUUAUUGUAGCCGUGUAUAUGAAAAAUUUUUACUAUAAAAUUUUUUUGAAAUAUUUGAUAUACUAAUAUGGAUGGGAUGUUUCUUGAGUUAUUGUAUAUUACUGUAACAUUGUAUUUGAAAAACUUAUUUUUUGAAAAAAUAGUCAAUCCAAACGGAGUCUUAGAUUCAAAAAUUAUCUUUAACAAUUUUUAUAGUCAUACCAGCGAAUAUAAUCUAGUAGUCUUCCUAGUCAUUAUCCACAAGAAUUUCCAGCAUUUCAGUUAGUUUAGACCUGUCAUCCUUGGACAAUGAUGAGGAUAAAUAUUCAACAUCCUAAGGACCUUGGCCAUCUUGAUAUAUGUUGGAAUAUGGCUGUAUAUCUAUCUUUUCCUUUAUUUGUUAAUCCAAUUUUUGGUGGGAAUCUUGAGUAUAAAGCACUUGCAUGUUUAUUUAAUAAAACUAAAAGAAAUUUAAUAAAUCAAAAAUAUUAAAAUUAUAUAAAAAAUAAAAAAUGAAUUAAAGGAAAAAAAUAUGUAGAAAAUGAAUUUGGGUAUUGGGCGGGAUGAAUCUAAACCCAUCCCAAAAUGAUCCCGCCCAAGUUAGUCCCAAAACACAUAUGGGUAAGAUUGGACCCAAACCCAUAUGACUCGGUUCCAUCUCAAACCCAAGCAAAUCCCGCCCAUCCCGCCCAUUUUGCCACCUCUAACCUAAAUGAACUAAAAUCAGGCUUUUGCAAUUUUGGCACACGUGCUGUGUUUGUUCUGAAAACAGUACUCAAUCCAUCUUUUCCCAAAACUGCCAAUUUCACCACAUACGACAUUGCUCAUUUACCUUUUUUGUGGUAGGUGUUUUUUUUUUUUAUAUAGAAAUAAAAUAAUUUUAUCAAUGAGAUUGUUGGUUUUUCUCUAGUACCAUUUGCUUGACAGAGUUUCAAGCAAAUUUCCGACUAGAUUGAAAGUUUUCACAAAUUAAGCUAAAUUAUGUGCAAUCUUUCUCUAAAAGUCCAAUUUACUUGACAAUAUGGUUGGUCUGAUAAAAUAAGACUAACAAUAAAUGCAUGCGCCGCAAGUGUAUUAGUAUUCAACCAUUGGGAGAUCUAGGGGAUGAAUGCAUAGUUUUUGGAGAAUUUGUGAAUGAAAUAUGGAUUACUUAAAUUAAAAUAAUUUAUAAAUGAAUUCUAAGUGAUCAAAGCAUUCUCAUAAUAAUGUGAAUUUUUGUUAAAUAAAAAAUGCACUUCAAAACAUAAAAACGUAUAUUUAAGUAAGUGUAGCUACAUAUGUACACAUUUAAUUUGAUAUACAGUGCACUUAUGCAUGCUUAAACAUGUACACGCGAGUACUAAUUCUUCAUAAUGGAUAAUUUUACUUGCAACACAAAUUUCUUUUACAAAUUUAUGAUCAGUAACUUAUGUCUCAUUUAUGAUUUUUUCAAAAUUUAUACCAUGGAUUGUAAUUCUUGAAUUUUUCAUUUUCCCUUUUACAAACACAUUUUCAAAUACGAGAAUCAUCUUAUGUUUGAGCUUCGUUUUAUUUUACAAAGGAAUUUUUUUUUUUUAAGUUUGAAGCAUAGCUCAAAUUUACAACAAAAAAAAAAAGAACGAAAAGCUAUGUCAAGUUGAACUGUGUGUUGACUCAUCUGAGUGAGAAUUGAUGAAAAUUUCUACAAAUCACAAAGUAAUCAUCGUAUAAAUGAUAAAAUGGUGAAUGGAGUUAUUCAAACUUUUACUUUUUUUUCAAAUUAGUACAAGUGAUGCAUAAAGUAUCAUGAUAAAACUAGAAAAAUGUAAGAGGGUGAUGGAUUGAGUAGUAUGAAAGAAUGGAGUGUAAGUGGAAGGUUACAGGUUUGAAACAUCUCACUUAAACUAAAAAAAUAUUAAACAAAUAAAUUUUUUUUAAACUAGGGAAAUUUUAUUUACAUAAGGAUGCAAAUAACAUUUUCUCUAAAAAUAAAGAAACAUUUUUGUUAUUAAUAGGUAAUAAAUGCAUAGAAAACUUAACGAUUCUAAAUUUGCAAAUUUGGACUUGAAAAAAAUCUAGAUUGGAGUUUCAAGUAUACCCAAAUUAAUUUAGGGAAAAAUUGAGGUUUAUAAAAUUUAGGGAUAAAAUUUGACAAUUUCACUGAUCUUCCCUAAAGUUUAUAAAAUUACACUUACCUCCCUUGGUAGAAUUGUGAGCCUAAUUACUUACAUGGAAAAUUACUCAUAUACCAUAAGACAAGACAUUAUGUCUUAUGGAAACUAAUAUCUAAUGAUUGAAUAAUUAGAGCAUCGAUCAAUUAUUAAUAACUGUUGAGAAUUUCUUUAAUAGUGAACAGUGACUUGCAAUUAUAAAACAAGGCCAAUUGAUUUACUAAAUGGCGCUAUUUUGUGAUUGAUAUAACUUAAAAAUUAUUAGAAACCAAUUGUACAUAGUGUGAUAAGAAGGGUUUUGGUUAAAAAAAAUAUAUAGGACAAAAGAAGAUUGUUCAUGAGAAAUUUUUUUUUGAAACUCUUAAAACUGUAACUGUUGUAAAGUAAAGGAGAAAAAAGAGAAAAUAUAAUUUAAAAAUUCUUUUUUUUCCAAAAUCACAAAAUCAAAGUAAUGUUAAGAGCGAUGACUGGUCUAUUUUACCGAAUCUUGUGAUCGUUAGUAUAGUUUUAUUGCUUAUUUGUGUUGUCUAAUGUAUUGAAUGUAAAUAUUUUAAUUAGUGAAAUGCAUGUAUUAAUUGUUUAUGAUUUUUAAUUAUUUUUAUUUUUUUACUAAUACAACUUAUAUAUAUGUACAAGGGAUAAUUAUGGGAUAAAAGUUUCAUUUCUCUCUUUAAAAUACUAUUUUUAACGUUCUUUUUUUUUUAUUUGGACUAAUUUUGUUUCUAAAAUGUUAACCUUAGAGGAGGUUUGUGUAAUUGUACAAACCUCAAGGGUGUCUAGUGAAAUUGUCAGCGAGGUUUCUGAAAUUAUCCGUUUUAAUCAUUUCCGUAGUUGUGUCUUCAUCCGUUUCGAACAGUGGCUCGAAGGCGAACCAACUAUCCUGGCGAACUGGUUAUUUCGAACCCAUUUGGGCCGGAGGUUGAAGGAGACGUUCCAAUCCAGUCAGCUCUGCUAACUUGGUGACAUCAACUUCUCUCUCUAUCUUUCAAAUGUUCAAUAUAUUUUAGGGUUUCAAUUUCAUACAUUCUCGAUGGAUGUUGACAUCGACGUCGACAUAGCCCGGUGGAUUCUCGAAUUCCUCGUCCGGCAACCCCUAGACGACCGCAUUGUUAGCUCCCUGAUUAGCAUUCUUCCUCCCACAAACGAAAAUUCAGGUCUCAAAAAGUCCCUCCUUUUACGACGAAUCGAAUCCGAAAUAUCUGCCGGUUCGGUCUCCGAGAAGAUCCUUGAUAUCCUCGAGCAAAUUGAGGAAUUAGACUUCCAGGACAAGAUUAAGCAACACUCUGACCUAAUCAAGGCCGCCUAUUGCUCGGUGGCUGUGGCUUGUACUGCAAAGUUUCUGAAUGAUAAGGACGUUGAUAGUAAAUUUAGGUAUUUCGAUGCGGUCAGGAGGAUUUGGAGAGGGAGAGUGUGUAAAAUGGAGAACGCGGAGAAGGUGGGUUUGAUUUCGGAGGAACUGAAGAGUUGGAAAGAUGAGCUCGAGGCUGCCGUGUGGGAUGAGAGUAUUUGGGAUAGUGUGUUGCAGAAGAGUAAAGGCCUUGAUGCGGUUGGGGCGGUUAGGCUUUAUGUUCGAGAGGAAAAAGAUGAUAUCGGGCCUUCUUUUCUGGAAUUAGUAGCUGAGGCAUUGAGGGCUGAUGAUAAAUUAAAGGGGAUUCUCGGAUUCAAAGGGACCCAUGGCGGGGCAAUUCAAAGUUCGGGUCCUAGAGAUGCUAAUAGAGGUGAGUUUCGUUGCAUCUGGUUCAUAUGUUUAGCUGGGAUUAGCAAAAAGUUCAGAAGAUGAUGAUUUUUAUGAAUGCUGUAGCUUUAUUUGUCAUUGAAUAUGCAUGAUUUAUUUUUUCCCUUCGGUUCGGACUGUAUUGAUUUUAUUAGCAUGUUUAGGUGGUUGUUUCUCAAUUCAUGUAGAAGUGCAGAGAGCAAAUGUUGUUUCCGGGCGGAAGCAUGUUGCUUCUAAACGAAUCCGAGGUGCUCCAUCUGGGAUGUCUAGAGGUGCUAAGAUCAUAGAUGGUGACACUUCUGGAGCUGACAUUUCUGGCAAAACGUUUGAUCUGCCAUCUACUCCUGAAGUGCAUGAAGUGCAGGAAGCUCUUAAGUCAAGUUCGUUGGACCUAAAAGCUGUGGUAAAGGAUCCCCUUCCUGAUGCUUUAAACAUUGCUGAUACCGUGGUUUCUAGCAUUGAAAGAAAAGAUGCAGGUAAGCAGCCUGUGGAAGAAAAUCAUGUUGGAGCAAACCCUUCCAUUGCUGAGAGCUCUGGAGCUGUUCAAGCUAAUGAAGGGACUCUGGGUAAUCAUUGCUCUGAGCAUCAGAAAGAUGCACCAAGACAGAGUUUAAUGGCACGAAGCAGCACUGCUCGUACUUUUGAGGUAAUGUGUUAUUUACAAUUCUGAAUUACUGUUGGAUCUCCUAUAUCUAGCGAAGUAGAUGGCUAUCAAGUUUUUGCCUUCUGAAAAAGGAUACACUCCAAAAUUUCGUUAUCUAGUGGUUUAGAUUUUUUUGGGUUCUGGUCUGAUAUAUUUUAGGUUCCAAGUUGUAUCUUUCUGGCUAUACAUUUUGACUUUGUUUCGAGGUUUGUGCAAUUUUGUCAUAGUUAUGACGUAUGAGCUUGGUUCUUACUCUUCUAAAGUAAUUAGGGGUUUAAUAACUUCAUGAGACAUAAUCUAAAGGGAUGAAAGAUUGGCAUUCUGCAUUCAUUACAUGCCUAUCAAUUUUAUAAUGAUCAUUAUAAAACUUAGUUAUUUGGGAUGCCACUGAACUUGGCAUCUUCUUUAUGUACUGAUAAAACUUAAAAUUCCCUUAUACGAGAAGUACUACUUGCCUGCAUGAUCUGUGAUUAUGCUUCUGGUUAGAAACACCUUACCAUUGUUGCUAUUUGAUUCAUUGAUAUGAUUGCAGUGGCUGGCUAUAUGAUUCACUCGGUAUAGAAUUCUCUGUUGUCCUAGUUCCGUGAAUUUUUAUUACUAUUUUAUUUGAUUUAGUGUGAGACCAAGAUCUAUUUCAUACUUUACGGGAUGGAUGGAGUCUGCUAAUUCUCCUAUUCCUAUACUAAGGGCUGCACUUGUAUGUUCAAUAACAAUGGAGCUCGGGAAUGUUGCCUUUGGAGAAAAAUAUGGGCAUUGCAAUCUUUUCUAAUGGUAGUUGUGGGAAGCAAUGAAAGGCUCUGUUUGAGACGAUUAAAGAUUGGCUUGGGUUCCUUGAACACUGUAAUAGACUGAUAGUUAAUCAAGGAUUGUAAUAGUUGUUUUCUUCUCUCCCAUGUUAGUUCUUGUCCGUCUACUUUUGCCAAUCCAAAUGUUUUCUUCCUUUACUUGUUUUAUCUCAAUCACCUAGUUUGACUGAUAGAAUCAGUGAGAUUAGAUAUGUAUGGGCUUAACAUGUUCUUGUUCACAUCUGUAAUGCAUAGAUUCAUCAUUUAUGAGCUAUGGCGUCGUUUGUUCUUUCUCAAUGGAUUGAACUAGGAGCGUAUAUGAUAACAUGAGCAUAGUUUCUGAUCAGUCAGCUAUUGGAUUUAGUAAGAUACCUGGUUGACUUAAUCACUGCUUUUCACUUAUACUGUUCUCCAAGACUCCAACUAGGAAAUUUGACAGGUUUCUUUUUUUUUUGAGAGUUAUGUAACUUACCUUGAUUAUGCUGCAUAUUCCAAAAACUUGUUUUUUCCUUUCCCUAUUUUUCUGCUAAAUGUUGUUGAUCUUGGAUGUACACAAUAUUGGUUCCAGGUAUGGAACUUUCCUUUGGAUGUGGAAUUUUAUUCUUGUUAAAAAGUCUAAAUUGUUUUUCAGUGGGACGAUUCAGUUGAUGCAUUGGCUGGAGAUUCACCAAAUCCUGGAAAUGGAGUUCAGUUACCUAGCCCAAAGAGAAGGGUAGUUUCUCCUUUGAAGAAAUAUGAAAUCAAUAAUAUGAAGAAAAGGAGAAAAUUUAAGAGAUGGAGUACAUCAGAAGAAGAGACGUUGAGGAUUGGUGUAGAGAAGUAUGUAAAUUAUUGCAUUCAGACAAAGCAUUACAGUUGAUUUCCAUUGUCUUACAUGGCUUACCAUUUUGCUGUGAACAUGAUUUGUUAUUUGGGUACUCAGUGGCGGCGCUUUUCUUCCAAUCUUGUUCAAUCACAUCCUACUUGCGCUAGAGUGAUAUAGGACACAUGGUUAUGUCAGACUUGCUCAAGUUCUAAAACAAUAUAUUUGUACUGACCUUGUUGCAGGUAUGGAAGAGGAAACUGGAAAGUUAUUUUGAAUGCAUAUCGUGAUGUAUUUGACGAGAGAACCGAGGUAAAUGUUCUGCAAAAUUAAUCUUCUUGGCACUUGGCUUUUAAUGUAUAUUAAUUACCACUGAUUAUUGUCUCUAGGUUGAUUUGAAGGACAAGUGGCGAAACCUAACACGCUAAUGCUAGCUUUUGAAGGAACUGAUUUGCUGUUUGUUUUAGCCACAGAUAUGUGCUUUGUAUAGCUUUUGUCUUUUCAUAUCCCUGUUUUCUCCAUCUGCUGUUUUGAGACAUGGCAAACCAGUUCACUGGCUUCUAGCUCAGCGUAGUACUAUUUUGGAGGAGCAAUGGAUUUUUGUAUGCUUUUGUCUCGUAAUCAAGUGGAUAGUCUUGUAGUCAGGAUUAGGAUAGCAUAAUGAUGUAACCAACAAUAUUAAAAUGAACAUCUAAGUAAUGUCUAUAAGGUUUUUCACCUCUAUCUUUUUUCCUUGAUUUUUGUGUGAUUGUUUGUUAUUUAAGCGCCUUUAGCCUUUUCUGCUACUCUUGCCUCAAACCACAUGUUUCUUAUUGCUCGUCUACACAACUGGGCGCUGAUAUCUUCUCUUUAAACGCAUGCUUCUGACCGAUGAGGGAUUAUUAACUUCCUACUUGCCUGCCUGUCCAACUCUCUGUCUAAUAGGAAAUGGUGUCGCCCUUAGUUCUUUAGUUCAAAAUUACGAUGUGGCAUUUUUACUUGCGCCUGAAUUUUUGCUUGGGAUUAAGGGCCUGUUUGGAAGUCAGGUUUUUAAGCAAGUUUUUUACCUACUAAUUUUUUAAUACUUUUGCUACAGGGAUCCAAAAAACUUUUCUAAAUAUUUUACUUACACACUUCAAAAUACACAACACACAAAAAAAAAUGUUCUUCCCUUUUUUUUCUUCUUCCUCCCCCAUCCCAACUCACCACCACCUCUGUUGCCGACCACUACCUCCGGCGCCGUUUCCUUUUUUUUUUUUUGCCUUACUACCUCUCCCUGACAUCUUCCCCUGCCAUCCUUUCCCUUUAUUCAGUUUGUAUGACCCCUUUUUUUAAAAAAAAAUUUACCUUCCCCAGUCCUCCCCCAUCACCCUUCCCUUUCCCCUUUGGCCGAUCUGGCAGCGAGAGUAGAUCGCAUCGGGGAGGGGGAUUUUUCCACGCACCAAAUUGCGAGGAAGGGGAGGAGAGGGGAAGGCUGAAAAUUCCAAAAAAAAAAAAAAAAAAUUUUGACUGGCUCGUGGAUGAGGUGCACGUUGACUGCUGGGCGAGGGAAGAGAAGAGGGAUGGGGAAAGGCAGAGGGGAGGAGAAGGGGAAAGGGAGGUGAGGGGUGGCGGGAGGUGGCAUUGGAGGAGGUGCUGGUGAUGGAGCCGAUGAUGGUGCUGGAGUUGGAGGAGGUGCAAGUAGUGGUGGUGGUGCUGGUGGUGGCGUUGGAGGAGAUGCUAGUGGAGGAGUAGGUGGAGGUGCUGCUGGAGGAGCUGGUGGUGGUGCUGGUGGUGGCGUUGGAGGAGAUGCUAGUGGAGGAGUAGGUGGAGGUGCUGCUGGAGGAGCAGGUGGUGGUGCAGGAGGUGGGACUGGUGGUGGAGUUGGGGGUGGAGCAGGCAGGAGAGUAGCAGGAGGGGUUGGUGGAGGCAUGGUAGUGGUGUCGGAGGUGGAGCAGGUGGAGGCGUGGGAGGAGGGGCUGGAGGAGGCCUUGGCGGAGGUGCUGGAGGUGGGGCCGGUGACGGAGUAGGGGUGGAGCAGGCUGCGUUGCUGCUGGGAGGCAGAGGUAAUGGGGAAGGGAGAGGGGGAAGGAAGAAGAAUAAGAAAAAGAGAGGAAAGAAAAGAAAAAGGAAGAAAGAAAAAGAAAGAGAAAGAGAAAAAAAAAGUUUUUCAUCUUGCAAAAACUUCUACAAAAAAAUUUUUCACCUUACAAAAAAUUUCUACAAAAUUUUUUCAAAAACUUCUACAGUGCACUACAGUAAAGUUUUAGAUAAACUCCCAAAAAACUCAGGUUCCAAACAGACCCUAAUUUACUCUGUGCUACUCUAACCACGUAUCUUCCUCUGUCCAUUCUCGUUAUUCACCAGUAUAUCUCUGCUACUUUCUAUCUCCAUCGUAUCACAACCCCUUUUUCCCACUUUUUAGCAUUUUCAGUUUCACCCACGACACAAGGCUUCAAAUGCCCAUCGCCCUCAUCCCCCGGACGGAAUCAUCUGUCCAUUAUAUAUGUCUAUUUUUCCAGUCCACUUCCAUUAUAUCUGUCUAUUUUUCAUGUCUAACGCAAAAUUAUGUAGUUCUACUAAAAAAUGGAUAGAUAUAAUGGAUAGAGGAUCCUGUCUGUUCAUCCCCUGCUCGUUAGACAGAUAUUGAGAAAUUUCCUUUUUUCACUUUCAAAGUGAAACUAUGUAAUUUUAUAGAGUUUUAUGCCAAAAUAACACUUUUUCUAAAAAAAUAUUCCCAAUGUGAUUUAUUUUCAAAUUGUAUUCCCAAAUCAAUAUUAUUGUUGCCACCUAAUAUUCCUGAUUGCCAUGUAGGAUAACAAUAAAGGAAAGCUUUAAUCUAGUUUAUAGUUUUCAAUAAAAACUAAAAAUUUAAACUGUUUUAUUAUAGAGGCACAAGAAAAUUACAUAACUUUGAUAAUUUCGUUAUAAUUAUUUAAAAUAAAUUUUACCAUUAUUAACCUUGCUAUUAUUGCUCUUUGCAAUUUUUGUAAAUGUAUCAAGUUUAUUGCAUAUAUUUUUUCAAAAAUAAAUUUGCAAAAUACAAAAAUUGCAAUGAACAUUAUAAGCAAUAACAAGAAAAAGUUACAAAAACUUCAAGACUAUUAUAUUUGUUUAUGUUAUGCUUCCUACUACUUGAAAAGAACUUUUACAAAAAGUAAUCAAACUAUUGCAAUUAAGAUAAUGCUAAAGUUUCUCAAAAGUAACACAAGCCAUUAAUUGAUAUUGAGUAAAUGUGCAAAAAUACUUCAAGUAUACGAAAUUAUUUGAUUAUGUGAUAGAGAGACACUACAAAUGAACAUACUUAUAUUGAGCAUGAAUUUAUGUUGUUACGUAGUUUUCCUCUUAGACAUUUUAUUAAACACACGGUGUGAGAAAUCAUUUGUUAAAACAAUUAGUAUUCAAAAUUUUUUGAAGGGCGUAGGAAUGUUCCAAAAACUGCACAAUAGAAAAGACAAGAGAAUAAUCUUCAUUUACUUUGAAAUAAUCAAUUCGAGGAGAAUAUUUUCAUCUACAGAUACAAUAUCAGGAAUGAUAAUGAAGUUUUAGAUGUUGUUAAUAUUAAUAUUGGCUUUUAACAAUUACACUUGACAAGGAAAAAUAAUGAAAGGAUACAAAAUAAUAAAGGAAAAAAAAGUGGGAAGGUUGAGAGAGAGAAUCAGGGAAUAUAUUAAUUGGGAAAAAGAGAUAGAAUGUGCCUCUAUCUUUAUCCUACCACAUAUGUAACCUAUAUGAAAAAAAAAGAAUUAUAAAAGUAAUAAAUUUUAAAAUUAGGUUACUUUGGGUAUAUGUUUCAAAAGAAGAGUUAUUUUGACAAUAAAAUCUAAUUUUACAUUAGACAAGAAAAAUAAACAGAUAUAAUGGACAGAGAAUUCCGUCUGCUCAUCCUUUGCUCACUAUACAGGUGUUGAGAAAUUUCCUUUUUCCACUUUCAGUUUCAUGCAUGACACAAGGCUUCAAACACCUACCUCUCUCAUCCCCUUCUUAUCGGAUAGAUGUUGAGAAAUUAGGCCCUGUAAUUCUUCCUUUAUAGUCUUCUCCUACAAAAGCCUAUUUUAAUUACUAUUGUUCUGAUGAAAAAAUUGCUAUCAAAGGGGAGAUGAAGAAAGCCAAUUUUAAUUUCAAGUACUAUUGCAGUAAAAAGGUGUUCGGCCUUAAAAAGUGGGACGCGGGACUGGAGCGGUUAUCAGAACAACCGCUCCGAAAGGUGUAACACCAUUUGUACAUGAUGUAACAUCAUCUGUACAAAGUGUAACAAUAGAACAACAGCGAGUAAUACUAGAACAAUAUUUUUGUGAGUCCCACAUGACGUGAAAAUCGAAUUACAAGACGUGAUCUGAGCCGAAUAAAUUUUUGAGACCUUGUCCAAGCCAUGAAAUGCCUGGGACGGUUGUCAGAGACGACCGUCCAGGCCCUCGUCCUAAACAAUGUGGGUGAUCUUCCGUACUCUCUGUUCUGACAAGCCAAUACUAGCUUUUGGCUCAAGAUUGAUUCCUUUCGGAAAUCAAGUGAUUACUGGAGGCCGUGGAGGGUAAAUCGUUUAAAAAAAAAAAAAAAGAGUCGUCUUACGCAAAUACAUGAAGAGUGAAUUAAGUUUGCAUGUCAACGGUGAGAGAGUUAUCUGAAACUGUUUAGCAGCCUUUGUUUAUAAAGUUUAAACAAGACCAGUUACAGAGCCACUCGUUGCGAGGUUUCAACCUCUGAGGCAGCCUAAUCGUCGUCCUAUUAUUCCACUAAGCAUGGACCUCCUAGCGUUGCUAUGGCCAAAAAAGAAAAAAGAAAAAGAAGCUCCACCACCGUCCUGAACACAGAACGGGCAACGACCUUAAAGCCCACAAAGCUAGCUAUCACUGUGCUCAAAGGAUGAGCAGGGCUUGACCGUUUGCUGAUAAUGUCAGCAUCAUCAAAUCUAACACUAACGGCCGAGCACUUCUUGCAUGGCUCAAAAGGUAAUUGUGUGGAUGAGAGAUUUGUACAGUGGCUGUAGUUCGCCAGCGGGGGCAUCUCUCUGUAAUUGCUAGAACAGAGGCUGUGGACUUGCCACGUGCAAAUAGGGAGAUAACGUGCUGGGCUGGCAAUUGUGAAGCAGCGGCUUUUGGUGGGUUGACAUUGAAGUAGGAAACUGCAGAGACUCGGAUUGGCACACGUGGCAGGGGUCGUCCAAUUCCCCUGUGACAGCUUUCAGCCAUUGGAUUUCCAGCUUGAGUGCUGCAUUUUGAGCUGGAGACAACAAAUACAGAAGUGUCUUAAGGAUCGAUAUAUCACGCAUUACUGUAGCAAAGAGAAGCCCUCGAACCGAAAAUCACUUGACUAGUCAUCGUCCCAGUGAAGCAUAAACACAAACUAGAUAUAAUCCAAAUUGGUGGGCAUGAAGUUGGAGAAACACUCGCGGAAGUUCUUGAGCACGAAAUUAAACCAUGAUCAUUUUCUGAUGGGAGACAGAAAAAGAAGAAAAGACACCGAGGGCAGUAGUUAAAUAGGCAGGUGCAUACCAUCGAUCUGCUCGGUUUGACUCUCCAGGGUCUGCAACUGACAUCUUAGUUCUGACUUUUCAGCUACAAGCUCCGUUGUCUCCCUCUGAGAGAGUUGAGAUUUUCAAAAGUCAAAUGGUUGCACAAAACAAAAGGAGAUGCCACUUAAUUAGUACAUUACAUUUCAGCAUGGGGAGAAAGUGAGCGUCGUUUAGGUUGAUUGCGUGACAUGCCCUGCAAAAACAUAUGAAAUGAAUCGAAACAAAGUACAUGCCUGGGUUGUGGUGAGUCGAGUAUUGAGCAAAGCCACCUGCGAAUUAAGCGUCUUCACCUUUUCCUCGAGAUUUACUAUGUAUUGAGCCUUCCUCUCUUUCGACCGGGCUGCCGAAUGUCGAUUUGCCACAAUCCUGGAGUCAACCGCUACGUUUUAUUAACAACAGACUCAGGUCACUUGCUCUAUUUGUGGGCACAGAUAGAAACCUAGCUGCUAACUGUUCAGACAAACAAGUUUUUCAAUCCCGUAGUUUGAUUUGGAGCUCAUUUCUCCCGGAUUUUCAAAACUUAUGUUGGUAUAUUCAAGACAAAAGGCGAGCUUGGUAAUUUUAUCUUUUUAUCAUGUUCACAGGUUGCCAAUUGGAACCUAAUUCACCUCCCAUUACCCUGUAAAAGGAAUAGCAAGUUUCUGACUUGCGAUCAAUUGACACACAACAAAAAGGCUUCAUUCCCAGCUAGCUAAACCCUCCAAAAUACUCCAUGUUCCUAUGCCCAGUCAUCAAUCAUAGAAAGUACUGCUAAAUUUGACUAAGAAGACCCUAAGCAGAGGAGAAAAUAAGAGCAAGAGCAUUGAAUCCUUGUCUUCAAUUUGGAUUUUAGAUUUAACUGACUUUGGUGAUCAUUAAUUAGUUAACAUUUUUUUUUUUGAAAAAAAAAAACUGACGUUGUAUGGUAAAUGUGUGACGUUGUACGGUUGAACCAUGCAACAACGUUAAAAUAAAAGGAUAUGAACCUCUUGGCCCGCUUAGGAUCGAUUGCCCAAAGCUCCGCCAACUCUUCCGGCGCCAUUGCUUUUCUCGGCUCCACAAACCUUUUCUCAUCCACCAAACAACCCUUCAGCCCACGCCGUUGCCGUUGUUUCCUCGGCUGAGUUGUGAUGAUAGCAGUCUUGCUCUUAUCCUUCCUCUUUCGCCUCCCUCGACAACGGCCGCCGCCACAGCUCCCGGCAACAAACCCGCCUCCGUUCUGGAGAACGUCGUGAUUGUCGAGGCCGACGUUGACGUCGUUCUCCUUCUCUUCCAGCUUUUUUACGUCCAUGUAAACUGAGAAAAGAUCAUCGUCAAAGUCAAUGUCGAAAUCAACAAUGACAUUAUCAUCGUCAUUGUCGAAUGUUUUUACAGUUAACUCCGGCGUCCAUGCACAGUCCAGGGAACCUUUGAAAGGAGAGCUGAUCAUGUCGGCGUUGGGUGUUUCCAAGAACAGAAGAAAUGGCGGAGUAUUAGUUGCGGGGUUUGGCUCGUCUGGAUUAGUUGAAUUCAUCAAAGAUAUUUAAACAAAAAUUGAAAAUUCUGAAAAAAAAAAAAAUAAUAGAAUAUUCUGAUGGAGUAGUUUUGGAAGAUUCAACAAUAAAUUAAAUAUGGGAUUUAUUUUGAACAAUAAAUUAAAAAUGAUGGGGUUUAGUAUUGGAAGAUUCAACAAUAAAUUAAAUAUGGGGUUUUGUCCCGGUAAAAUUAGUGCUCCCUGGGCCUUUAUAUAUACUGAGGAAGAAGAAAAAGAUUAAAUUUGCAUUUCUUGGCCUGAAAUUAAAUGUGACGACUUAAAGAUGGCCACUUGUCGUGGUGAAGUAUGGUUUCUAAAUUCAUGGCUGCUAAAAUAUAGCUCACCACCCUAUAUUCCUGUUUAGGUGGAGGUUUUCCUUCGAUCAAGGGGCAUAUUCUUCUUCAAGCUUUUAUCUUCUUCCCAUCUGGCGUCAAGAAUUUCUCUAUUUUCCUCGUUAUCUGCCACGCCAUGCAUGUACUUAUCCACGAACUUUAUUAUCAACUCAAUCGAUCAGGGGAUCCAGGCAAGCCAUGAACCCGUUUGUCAAUUCGCUCCGAAUGCCAAUAACCAGCCAUGAGAAGUGAGUGGAAUUACAAAGAACACAAGGCAUUUGCCUUGCUAUAAUAUAGGAAGACACCCCUAUAAUAAUAAAAAAAAAAUCUAGGAAAAUGAGAAAGUUGUAUUUAGCAAGUUUGUAUCAUACACCAAAAAAUAAUCAGCCAUUUCCAUUAUAUAUCCAUAACAAACUAAUGUAGUUCCACAAUAAUGUGAAAAAUCUAGGAAGCUGCAAAUUUUUUAACUCCUCGUAGGGCACCAAACGAAUCGAGUUGCCCGCGAGCGGCUCGAGUCGAGUUCGAUCAAUAUCGAGCUCGAACUCGAGUUCAAAAUAUUAUGCUCGUUAGCUCGCGAGUCGGGUAUAUAUAUAAUAUUUUUUAUUUUUUUUAUUUUAAGUAUAUAUAUUUUUUAUUUUAAGUAUAUAUAUUUUUAUUUUCUUAUUUUAAUAAUAAAAUUACAUAUAUAUCCUUAAUAUUUUAUUAUUUAUUAAGAAAAAAAUAUUAUUUUAUUUAUUUUUUAAAAAAUAAAAUAUUUAUUUAUUUUUUUUCGAGCUUGAGCUCGAAUCAAAUUGAUUCGAGUCGAGGUCGAGCUUUAAAUUGCCGGUUCAUCAAGCUCAACCUCGAGUUCGAGUUUGGUAAAAUUUAGUCGAGACUCGACUCGAUUUAAUUAACUCAAAACUCGAUUCGACUUGACUCAUUUGCAGUACUACUUCGUCGGACCUUUUCUUAUUACAGUCGUUUGCUCUCAAGUUCACGUCCCUGUAUAAAAUGGUCCAAUGCCGGGACUGAAGAGUGGAGCGAAUAAUUUGAAUAUAAACAAUCCAAAGGUGAAAGAGAAGGCACGAAGCCUCACUGACUCAAAAGUGUACAACAGCAAAAUGUGUUAGCCCAGUAGGCUGCAUGGAGAAUACACAAACUCCACCAAAUUUACUACGAUCAAUAAUACUUUUAGUUAUUUCAAAAUUGGAACUAACCCGCAACCCAAUUUUUCUUUAUUUAAAAAAAAAAAGAAAAUAAAAAUCAAGUCCAUGGUUAUCUGACGGUCAGCAUUUGGAGAAAGAAAAAGAAUUUUUUAAGGACAAGGGAAUGAUGCACAGCCGCACUAGCAAGUCAAGAUUUGGACCAUUUGAUCUUGGUGGAUGAAAUGGUGAAUCGCCAACCUCAACUGUUUUUAUUUUAAGUAAUUAUCUUCAAGAUAUGACAAAUUAGUUGGCAGACUAAAAUCACAUCAACUUUAAAUUAAAUAAGGGAAGAAAAACUUCACUAUUUCCUGUCUUGCCAGAAAAUAUCUACUUUGUCGUGUUGCUUGCAUUCUUAGCCAAUGACACCAUCGGAGAAACUAGAUAUUUCCCCCCCCGCUUCUCAUGCCGCAAAACCGUGCAUGACUGAUAUUGACAAUUCUAUAGGCUGUCCAAGGAUUAUUAGGAAAACAACAUCCACCAUUCCAUCAAAUUGCGUCAUGAUGUAUGCUAAUACAGGAAGUAAGAUGUAGUUGAUCUGUUGUCACAAUUAAUAAUGUUCUUCAGUGGAUGAUUCCUCAGAUACUUCUGUGCAAAUUUGCAGUGCUACAAAGUAGUGGUUUUAGUAUAAACUCCUCCAAGUUAUUGUUGAGUUUAAGGUAAAGAAGCAGUGGUUCCUUUCUCUCCCUACCGAGUAUCUAAUUCCUAGUCCCAAAAUUCAAUUCGACCAUAGCUAUGCUGGACCAAUAUUGAUCGAGUCCCCUGGUCCCGAUUUUCAAUCACAGCAGCAAGAACCCUUUCACUUUCAGUAAUUGAUUCUCUCCUUUCCUUUGCUUCCUUAUCCAUUUGAUCCACUGGAUGCUUUUCCAAAGCUUCUAUCUUGUUGGAAUCCUUCCAACACUUCCUCGUUUUCGCCUAAGCACGCCGUCUCUUCCUUGGCAAUGCGUCUAAUCAUGCAUCCCGGUCACUUGAACCCCAGCUGGCUACUCGCUACUUUGCUUCCUAUCAGCUCACCACCACAUCUUCUUCUUCAUCUAAUUUCCCCCUCAUCCGUCGGAUCUACACAUUCCGACUUUUGUAUGUAAAAUACCUUCACCCAGCCAGCUUCACGGUUUUCUUGCAUUUCAAAAAAAGCAAAAAAAAAAAAUUCACCCUUUCGGAUUCAAUUCAUCUAGUCACUAGCUAUAUCAGGCAUUUUUGCCAGCAUUGAACUAGCAACGACCCAUAUUUAUUAGUUACGCCAAUUAAUGGGAAAUCAACAGAAUCGAUAUCACCUGCCUCGGCACCUCCUCAACGGAUCCGAUGUUGCAACAAUGGCUUUAAUCAACGAGACAAGAAGCAACCCGACUAGUAACGACGCGAAUUUCGACAGCAACAUGGUGAUAAUAUUGGCAGCUUUGCUAUGUGCAUUAAUAUGUGCGCUUGGCCUAAAUUCAAUUGUGCGCUGUGCAUUAAGGUGCAGCCGGAGAUUUGCCUUGGAAACUCCCGAGGGUGUAGCCUCACGUUUGGCCUCAUCGGGUCUAACCAAGGACGCGUUACGUAAAAUCCCGGUGGCUGUUUACAAGUCGGGAAUCAAUAUCGCAGCCACGGAUUGUCCCAUAUGCCUGGGAGAAUUUAGUGAAGGAGAGAAAGUACGGAUUUUGCCCAGAUGCAAUCAUGGUUUCCAUGUCAAGUGCGUGGAUACGUGGCUACUGUCGCAUUCAUCCUGUCCAACUUGUCGGCAGCUGUUGUUUGGACAUCCUACUCCGGCGAAUACUUGAUUAAUGCAAGGUAAUUAAUGACUGCUGAUGAGGUUUUGUGGUUUGUAGAUUUUGCUGCAGAGUAAUUGUUGUUAUCUGGCAAUAGAUGAGGAGGGUACGUAAUCCGUAACUGUUGUUAUGCUCGUAACUAUAGCAGGUUAAUUGGUCUCUGUCAUGAGUAGCAGCGGGAGGUAAUGUCGUUGUUUUGAGAAUCCAAGAGUAUGUCAGUUUACUCUUUAGUUUCGAGUGGCUAUGUAUUAAGUUCACAUGUAUGUAUGCAUGCGCAGAAAUUUACCAACAACAACUGUAAAAAAAAAAAAGAAAAGAAUAGAUGAAGAGACUAACUGGAGCAGUUAGUUAUCUGGUGUUGCUACGUUCUUGCAAUUAUAGACUGCUUAAUUUGUCUAGUCCGCAAAUGCCACACUUCCCUCCGAAAAAAACUCAGAGAAAUACCAUUCCACGUAAGAGGUGAGGUACCUGCAAUUAUGUAUGCGGUGCAUCACCAAUAUGGUAAUAGGACCGCAAAAAUACGAGAAGAAUCUUGGAAGAGUCUCUCAAUCUGAGGGGAGUAGGGGACCAAAUGAAUGAAUGAACAGUGAAGGUCGGAUAUCAAAAGACCAAAUGGCAGCCUGCAGUUAUGAGUUAUGGGGCAGGGAAUUGGCUGGGGAAAAAAAUGCACGUCAAAUAAACUGCUACUGCUACAAAAGACUGGAAAAUAGAGUACUAGUACUAGAAUUGACUGAAAAACAUGAGGGCUUCCUUUAGUUAGUUGUCCGGUUGGCUUCGAGUGGCGGUGAACUAAUGUAACUGCUCUUUCACAGGCUUCACAUAAAUAUUCCAGUUAGGUGAGCCAUAGACUUUUGCCGCCGGGGAGGGGUGGGGGGUGGGGAUCUUGGAAGAUAUUUAAUGUUUUUUAUUUUUGGAUUUUCCUUCACUCUUCUUCGAUUUCUGGUGUGAAAUGAUUGAUGAUUAAGACGAGAGUUGUUAGGACCACAACUGCUCCAAUUAAACAGGCAGAGAGAGAGAGAGAGAGAGAGAGGUAAAUAAAACAUCUUACCAUUCUGGUGAUUGGAAAUUUGAUGCAAUAUCCAUUAGUACCAUGAAUCGCACCACAUUCUGGUGAUUGGAAAUUUGAAGUCACUUGGAGCAAAUUGAUGCGUCAUCCAUGUUAGUUGAACUGCUAGGAGUAGUAUAAAGACACAAGAGGUGCCACUGCUCCUUAAUUUGUUCUACGUACGUAGGUGAGUACUUUAGUUAUUGCAUGUGUGGGCGUACGUGGGACCAUGAGUAUGUAUAUGGACAGUAGUAAACUCUAUUACCGCCAGAUUAAUGAGGGCUUUUUAACUAAUGUCACUGAUACUGAUACGAGUGGAUCAUAGUCAUUCAUGCAUCAAUUUUUCUAGUGCAUGACGCUGUCAAUUCAUUUGUUCGUAAUGAACAAGCACUUAACUCUUUAGUACUAUAAAUUAAGUUUCACGUUACUCGUAUCGUAUCUAAAUGUUUGUUCAUCUAUAUAUGUGUGUCUUUUCCUUUCCCUAGGAAAGGGAUCUAGAAACGAGAAGUUGUUGCGCUCUUAAAUACAAAAGAAAGUGAUGAUGUAUUUGGCAAAAUGAAAAUCAAAGAACAAAACAAUAAUAUAAGUGGUAGUUAAUUGAGUUGGCACAUGGACAAAGCAAAGCAAACAACAACGGCGGAUGCAGGCUAAAACUUGUUGAGUUUUGCCUUGAUACUAAUUGAUAUGGUGGCGUCUAGAAAGGCAAUGGGUGGUUAGUAGGUGAAUAAUAAGGCGAAUAAGGGGAGCCCAUCACAAAUGAAGACUGGGCAUUGCCGACGAAAGAGGCGGGAUUAUUAUUAUUGCUGCCGGCAUGAUGGUUAUUACGGCCUCGAUUGGGAGUUCUUGGAGCUGGACUUCUUGGUGUAGACACCAUCCCACUCCGACUAUAUCGAUUCUCUCCGCUUCCCCUCGGCCCUUUCUCCGCCCACUUUAGCUCUUGUUGUUUAACCAGGCUUGGAUAUCCCAUGCAACAUCCCAUUUGUCCUGCUCUCUCAAUGUACCUGUGUCGAUAUAAUUGAUAAACAAAGACGAAAUAUUAUUCUGCUCUUCUCUGAGUACUGAAAAAUUUUGUAAUCUUGAGCUAGUUUUGACGUUCUCAGGGCAUUUGGGGCUCUUUUUUUGUCGACCGGCUGAUUAAUUACUGUAUCAGGCGGCAAAGGAUAAAUUAAUAAGUAGGGACAAUUGAGCAUUGCCUUCAUACUGUUUAUUAUAAAGCAAAUCAAACGGUUCCUUCUACAAAUUAUCAAGGAAAAAAGCAAAACAUUAUCUGUCGUUUAACUAGUACAUGCUACAUUAUUUUAUGUAACUUCGUGUUCUGUUGAAGCUUCCAACAAACCUCAUCCAUUAAUCUUAUUAUAUUCAUAUGAAUUAACUGCGACUUAGUCCACAUUCCUAAUCAUCAUGCAUAAAAAUAUCUUAGAUUUUUUAUUUUAUGUUUUGUUUCCACUAUCACGACUGAGUCAAAAGUAUGGAGCUUGAGGCAUGCAGUUAGGGAUAAUUUGAUCAUACACUGCCGCCUCACUUUAGUGCAGCAUUUUCUGAGUCCCAUUGAUUCUGCAGGGGUCAUCUCAAGCAAAUUCUAUGUAUAGUACCGACGUUAUAGCUCGUGAGUAAGAGUUGCUGUUGAGAGAGUGAUACCUACAAAUUCGAUUUGAAUUAUAGUAGUUUAGGUCUGUACUGUCAGGAAAUUACUACCCUUUAACCUAAGGUUUAGGUCUACACUGUGCUACCAUCUUUUCUUUCUUGUUAUUUUCUCAAAAAGACCUGGUUGGUCAGUAUUCGAUGUCAGUUAUAGUCGACCCAUCGAUCCAUAUAAGUAGAAAAUUUUGAAGUGUGUACCGGUGACCGAAUCUUCGUCCCAAGCACUCGAUGCACUUUCGGCCUUCUGUCAUUUCUCCCAUGCCAAUAACCACGCACUGCCGGCAAUAGACUCUCCCGCAUACCUGAGUGGAGAAUUUUACAAUAACUCAUGCAUGUCCACGAAAAAAUUGGGAGUAGAAACAGAAGCAUCUAAAAAGACCAAAGAUUGAAAUAACGCGACGUAAUGCAUGUGCAGGCUGAUUAGCUUUAAUUCCUCCAUUAAAACAAAGAUAUCAGGAAACUUGAACCUUAUGAAUAUGCCAUGUGAUCAAAAAAUCAUGUUCAUUCAUCUAUUAUUUCUCUCACUUCAAACCUAAGCUUUUAUCUUUGUCACUUUGACUCAAUUUCGAUGGACCAAAGCAAAUAUUCACCAAGUUUGGAUAAAGAAAUUACAUCAAGGAAUUAAUAACAUUCCUAGGCGACAAAGUUAAUAAACAUAACCUAAAGGCGACCGAUCUAUCUGGCCAAGUAUUUACAUGCUUAUUCAAAUUUAGAGCAGCCGAUAAUGUACCAUACGUGUAUUCUAAGUUUUGACGAACGUUGUCAGAAUGUGUAAAUCUGUGCAUGACAAAUUGAUGAUAUUUAUGUUCAAAACAAAUUGAUAAUUGUGCCUAAUGCUCUGAAAUAAUAGUAUAACAGUGAUAGAGCAAAAAAGCAAUAUGUCAGAGGGACAAAAAAAAAAAAAAAAAAGGAGGCUAGAGUAAAAGAUGGUUGAUUUACCAGGCAACGAUGACGGAAAACAUAGAUGUAGGUAGUGCAAACGGUGCAGAUAUUGGAGUGAGGGAUUCCAGGUCUCCGCCUUCCUCCUAUCUCCGGGUAUCCACUCAUUGAAGCCAUGCUGAUGCCACUCAUCUGGCUCAUGUCAUCAUACCCCAUGUUGUUGUGCAUCCCGCGUGUACUAUGACUAUAAGGGCGGGCAUGAUGAUAAUGAUGAGGAGGAGGUGUAGUCUGUCCAUGAACAUAAUGGUGGCUUCGAUGACCAUUUGCACCCUGAUGAUCACCAACCCCAGAAUUGUGCAAAUGAUUAGUAGUCAUUGGUGAAUUGUAUGUGUCUCGACUCUUUGAAAGAUGAUGGAUAUGGGGAAGGUGGUGGGAUUGAUAAUGAAUUUGAUGAUCGCAGCUGGCGGAAGCCUCUAGGCCUCGGCUAAAAUCCAAACUCGGUAUUUUUUUGAGAGGGGCUACUUCUUCUUUUCUUGGGCUGGCUUCAAUGAUGGAAUCCAAAGUGGGUGGUGCGUUAUUCUUGUCUAUUGAAGGGAGACCAUUUUGUUGCCUCACUUCAGCUAGGUCUUGAAAGGUGAGGUUAACUGAAUCAUCAGGGAUCCCUGAAUAUAACUCCUCCAGCUCUCUUUUUGCUUUUGCGAGCUUUGUCAAGUCUCCCAUUGUUUUCUUUUUGGAGAGGAAAAGAGUGUAGGGUUAGGAGGUAUGCGUUUUAGGUGUAGGGAUUUUUCCAAUGCAGGGGAAACGGUACUUAUAUGUAUAAUGCAAGUGCAGACGGCAGGAAAAAGCCAGGAUACCUGGCCGGUCGAGAAUUGCACUACCGGACAAGGGAUGACGAAGAGAUUUUUGAGAGUACAGGAAAGAUAUAUAUAUAUGCAUUUUUUUUUUCCUUCUAUCAGUCAUGUGCUGUUCUUUUUAGUUGGACUAAUUGCCUCAUUUGGGCUUUCGUCUUAAAAAUCAAUUGACGGUAAGUAUAGAUCUUGAUUAAUUCUUUUUUAGUUGGUUUUGGCUUAACUGAUGUGAGAUAGAUUAGGUUGUUUAACAAUGAUAAAGCAUCAUAAAAGAAACGUUGAAUUCCAGAGUAAAGGGGAUUUUUGAGAGUAGAGGGACUAUAUAGUGCGUGCAUUGUUAUCAUUUUACACUAGCUAGUACUGUAUAAGGAUUGCUUAAACAUCGAUGAUCGUUGCUAUUAGCAACCAUAAAAAUGUUUCGCAACCCUCUUUCCUCCAUCCCAAUGCAUCCUUCUGUCGGUAAUUAACCAUUUUAGACGAUACUCGGUUGGGAAUCAGGUGGGAGCCACUUGACUGGUUAAGUAGUAAAUCUGCUUAAUUACAUAAUAGUAAUAAUAAGGGAUAGUCAUUUAGCGAGUUAAUGGUUCGGGAUAACAUAUGGCCGUCCCUUAGGAUCCUUACAGGAUGAUGAUGGUGAUGAUGAAUAUUUUCAAUCUAGGCCGACUCUGACAGUUUUUUUUUUUUUUUGGUGAUUAUUUUAAGGUAUUAACAGAGAAAACUAGAAAAGCUGUGUGUUAGCCGAGCGUGCGCAGAGUUGAACUUCUCAACUCAACAAUGAUAGAAAUAAUGAAAUCAUCAUGUUAAGAUUGGAUGACCGGCAGGAAAAGACAAAGGGCUGGCCGGACUAUGAGAGGGCAACAAAUUCUUGCUGUCUUUGAUUGGGAGAAGAGAAGGUAUGGGUGGUUUAUGGAAAUGGCAUAAACGCGUUCGUUCAACCUAAUAAGGUAUAGUGAUCAACGAUGUAGGGCAACAACUAAUAAUAUAUAGUUUUAAGCAUAUGAGCUCAUGCUUGCAAUCCUCAGGACGUCAAUUCAACAUUUCACUUCUCCUGAGUCUAUUGGUCGGAUUCUUUCCAUUCAGCCUUUUGGCAAAUCCUACCAAGAUUAGCUUGUGCAAUGUAUCUUAUUAGUACCAAAUAAUCCGGAAUGAAAUAUCUUUGCGCGUCUGCCUUCUUUUUUCUUUUUUUUUUUUUGAGCCUUCCUUCCCCAGAGUCACAAUUAACCCGAGUUUUGGACUUCAGAUUCUGUUUUAUUGUCAAUUGGCAUCUGACUUCGGGUAGCAUUCCUUUUGUUUCUUCCCCAGGGAAACGAAACUUCUACCCAGCUAAUUCUCAUUCGUUGUUUGUCAGCAGAUUAGCAAUCGCCAGCAAAUUGUUCGACUCACGUGAACAUUUUUUUAUUAAAAAAAAAAAAAAAAAAAAAAAAAAGGGGAGAAGAAGAAACGGGAAGGUCCAAAAAACUCACUACUGUAUUCUUUGACGGUAAUGCUGUGUAUAUAAAACCUAACAAAAGGGUUAUGAGAUGUGCUACUGGCUACUGCUAUAUCAUUACAACCAAAAUCCAAAACUUAUAAAUAUCAAGAUAUAUAGCUCAGAUCUUUCAAAAAAAAAGAAGAAGAAGAUAUAUAGCUCAGCAAUUACUCAUCUUUUACCCUUUUUCUAUCAGAAACUACUCCUCUUUGCCCUUUUUCUCGGGCCCCAUAUUGGCUGAUGCGCUGCACCCUUCUUCAGGUAAGGACCCUUCACCGUCACCGGGAGCAUGCGAUGGUAGCAAGUGAUGGCUCAAGCUUGCAACCCCAUCCUGCCUCAUAUACACGUCCAAGGGAAUGCUCGCUGCGUCUAUGAGGGUGGCCAAGUUGAUUCCAGCUGCUGCCUCAGCUAGCAUGUCUUCUUCCCUACUGGGGUGGCAGUUUAGGUCUAAUUGUCCCUUAUUGCUCUCUCCUGCCUCCAUCAAGCUCCCAUUCUGGCUUCUUUCAGCAUCUGAAUGAUUUGUCAGCAGCAAUGCCUGCUCAGCUGCCCCUUCCAUUUCUGACAUAUCUAGAGGAGGAGUUUCUUGAUCCUUUCCCUGGAGAAGUUCAGCUUCUCGGUCUGACUGGCGCUUUUUCUUUCGCAUCAUGAGUGUUUUGAAGCGCCUUUUCACAGUCAGGCAAACAUUACACUUGCACGAAGGUGGGUGUUUGCCCUUUCCACUUGGGGGCUGAAUGCAGACAAUGCAACUGCAUCCAGGACGAUGGCGAGGAUGUUUGGUAGUGGCUCCAACUGACAUCUCAGUCAAAUCCCCCAUGUUGUCCCCUAAAACAGCAGCAGUAGCCAAUGCAUCUAAGCCAGAAGGCUCAUAGUCUUCAGCUACCUUGGCUUCUACUAUUCUUCUCCUCUUAAAAUCUGUCAGCAAACAUGAAAGACAGAAAAAUUCCCAGAAGUUAACUCUGAUUUAUGGGGAUAGACAUUUAGCAUUUGAUAUCAUUAUUCAGAAACAAAUUCUAUCAUCCAAAGAAAAACGCAGAAUAAGAGCAAAGCGACUACAACAGAAGGGAAAUUUUCAAUUCUUUCAUUCACACUGUUAAUGGACGUGGAAAUUUCUGUAAAUCCUGGUCAAAUGAUAAUAUGUUCUUUUUCCAUGGACGAAUAUCAGAAUAUAGAGGAAGGUUGAUGAAGUAGUUAAGUGCCACCUUGUUUCUACUCCAGAACAUUCCCCGAUUUCUAUGAGCACAAGUACCCGAUGUGAAGCAGCAGAUGGAGCAGAAAAUCAGGGUGAAAAAUGUGCACGGAUCUACUGUUUAGUAUGACUCACAAAAUGUAAGAGGAGUGUAUAUAAACCCACCACUCAUGUGUCAAACUCUUGAGAUCAUUCAAAGCACCAUCUAAGAUGGAAUUCCUAUCUAGAUAUUCAAUCCGUUUUAUCAAACCAAGACACGUACUAUGCAGAAGAAAAUUGAAAUUCCUACUCUAAUUGAACCAGAUAUAUCCAAAAAAGUACGCAACUUAUACACAUUUUAGACUGCUGGCAUACAUUAAUAUAAGGAAUACUACUAGGAACCAAAUAAAUGUAGUAGAUUACCAUCUCUGCGGCGGUAUGUUAGUGGUGGUGGUGGUGGUUGUAGAGAGAGAAUUAUUGAGAGCAAAGAUGACGAGGAGAAGUAGAGGUAGGAGUUUGAGGGGAAAAAUAAAAUAGUUGCACAAGAACUUAAGAGGCAGAAGGAAACAGAGAAAGAAGUUUAUAGAAUGCAUACAUUCAUACUGUGUUUCUAGUAAUAAGUUCAAUUGUUUUAUACUACAGCCAUGAGAGGAUAUUGAAUAUUGUAAGUAAAAACUCAAUUUGGUAUACCAAAAGAGUAUCUCACUAGCAUACAAAUCUCAUAAAAGUUUUCAUAAACCUAGAAGUAUAUUACAUUAUGAUUGAUUUUCACAACUUAUUAAAAAAAAAGGAAAAUUUGUAAUGGAUUCAUACCCUUGCUGGCUAUAUUGAGAGCUUCCAGUUCCCUUGGAUUGAUAUCAUCAGGAGCAGAACAUGUGCUUCAGGAAGAAAUUCAAAGACAUGCAGGUUAGAACUUUUAUCAUUCCCUUCAAAUAGAAACAAAGGAACUUAAUGCCUAAACUCCCCAGAAUAGUAGCAUUAUUGGGGCUGUGGAAGUGGGUAUGUGUGAGGUGAUCGGGUAGUAAAUCUCUACUUACCGAGUAAAAAGUAAAUGGAUUAACCUUAGCAGCAACAGUUGCAGAUAUUUUGCUUUGUGUGGAAGAAUGAACUCUUUAGCAAAAUAUUUAUAGUGUUUUUAUCAAAAAACAAACCACAAACUUACCUGUUUAAGACCCAAGCAUUGUCUGGACAUGUCCAUCUUGCAGGAACAAGAACAUGCAUGGGCAGCCUGCGCCAUUUUGAGCAAUUGUCACAUUGAGCCCACUGUUCCUGCUGCCUGAAUAAUCAUUUUCCGCAUUUCAGGAAUAGAUGCAUUGCAAUAUAAAUAAAAUAAUAACGCCAUACAGAAAAUCAGAACGAUAUUGGAUUCUGUGAUGCUUAGUGAAAACAGUCUCAGUGCUGUGAUCAGAGGAAAAACUGAAAAAAGCUCGUUGAAUUACCAGCUUCAGUAGAGGCUUUAACUUUUAGAAAUCAAAGUAACUAAUUUAAUGUGGUCAACAUGCUUUUUGACAUCUUGAAAAGACAUUUUUGCUGUCCAAAUUCCUUGUAUAUUGGCCAAGAACUUAAAAGUAUACAAGAAUGAUGGAGCCGAUAUGUGCUUAACAAAUUGCCUUACCCUAGCAAAGAUUAAAAAUACCACCUUUUCAGAAGUUUGCAUGGAAGAGAGAAGAGUAAUAAUUAGGAACUCAAUCCAAUAAAUUGUAAGCGAUUCCAAAUAUAGAGCUAGGUAGAGAAGGCAUCCAACAAGUCUUGAAUACAUCUAGAUCAUAAUUUCUAUCAGACUUCUAGAAUCAGAGAAGCUUUCUUGGCUAAGAGUUUCUAUCAAGAGAAAUACAUCUAAAAUUUGUAAAACCAUUAAGCAGUGCAUGUCAUAACCCAAAAAGCAACACUAUAGUGCAAAAUAUAGCUGUAUACCAAAACAUUUUGUACAGAUAAAAAGACAUCCUUACCCAGAUGGUUGAACAGUAAAUAUAGUCCUCUUCCCAAAUAUCGGUGGUUCCUGCUAAAGUGAAAACAUUGGAAGUAUGUUGAUGAAAUGCAGGAGGAUUGAAGUUUAAAUGCCUUGAUACGUCCAAGGCAGUUAAGAAAGAGAAGCACAAUGAAUAAUAUUACAGAAUAGAGAAUUUUAAAAGUGAACUUAAAUCAUCUGGCCUAAAUAAAUAAGUACAUGAAUGAAGAAUACUCACAUCAUAUUCCUCAAAUUCACAGUCCUCAAUCUUGAUAAUUGUUGGGCUGUUUGUAGGUGGCCGUAGAAGCUCUUGCGCUUCUUCCCACGUAACUCUAAGUUCCAUGGCAUCGUCACUGUGCAUGAGAAGCCUCUUGUUCUUUAACCCAAUAUUUCGUGCCUUCUUUUUUUCUGGGAUCAAGAUAUUCCGUUGUGAGGAAUCUUCAUGUAUCUGACCUCCAUUGUUGCCAUUUUCAGAAAUCUAAAAUAGCCAUGUUAAUAAAAUAACUGAUAUGGUCAGAAAUCACAAGAAAGUGAGCAAGCAGAAUUCUGAACUAAUGCAAACAAGAAAAGGGUAAGGACUUACAGCAAGCAUGUUAUCACUAGCACCUAAAUACGAAGUUUCACCAGGAGAACCGCCAUUAGGAAGGCCAGAUGGCUGUGGAUCCUGUGUCUACAGAAGUACAUGUUACUUGUAAAACUGAAAAGCAAAAUUUAAAAGAGGUUUCAAACAGAGAAGAGCCUAUAAAGCUUGACCUGCGUCUCAACAUUGGUUGUUGACUUCCGGAAACCCAUGACAAGUUGUCCACCAGGGUCUAUACGGCUAAAUGUCACUAUGAGUAAAACCAAAAGGGAAUAGUCAUGACCUUACAUGAACUAACAAAGUUAGUACAUAGUUGGCAGUUGACAUAAUAAUUAAUUGAGCAUUUAUUUCAUUCCUUGUCAUCAAAUGCAUAUUGGCUGACAAUGACAUGAAUACACACCCUUCGACUGGGAAAAUGGUCAAAUAGUAAUACUAAGUUGAUUCAUUACCAUAUUAUCAAUGUUUUAAGUCCUGAAAGACUAAAUAUUCCAGAGACCAUUUCCAGCCCAGAGAUAAGAACUCAUAUAGUGGACUCGCACAAGAUUCUAGAAAUUGGAAUGCAAAAAGUGGUUGCCCACAUGCAUUGAGAUAUUAAACUAGCUUCAAAGGACAAGAGGACUAGCUUCAAAGGACAAGAGGACCCAAAUUUAGAUUUAAUAAAUAGUAAGCCCUCAAAUAAAUGAAAAAGAAAAUAUAUAAAAUUCCAAAUCUGAAGCAUAUACUAGUCUUGUGAAUACCAGUAUCGCCAGCUUGCAGUUGCAUGUUCUGUAUGCAAGGAGUAACCCCCUCCAAGACAUACAUUCUGCUGUUAUUAUUGGGCCAAAAUCUGAACUGGAAUGUCCACUCUUUACCCUUCACAUCCUGUAUCCUUAUCGGCAGACCUUCUGAUUGAUUAAUAGGAGGGAAGUAUGCCUGAUUUCAAUAUGCAAUAGCUUCAUGACUAAAGGGCCAGAGAAGAAAAUUGGAUAAAUGGAAGUCAUAAGGUAAAACGCUCUAUGCUUAAAGGUCUCAACUGAAUCAACAGCUCACCUCAGCACAUGCCUUGGGAAGAACCAGACGACCAAUCCGGCCAGCAUCACUAGCACUGAGAACUUUCUCAAACAACGGUACAACAGUGGAUUUCAAACUUCAACAGAAGAGUUAAAGUAAAACUACAUGUCGCAUGCAUAAUAGCAAGAUAAUAAGGAAGCUAUCAUCAUUUUUACUUUCACUUCAUAGAGGUGCUAAUCGAUUUCGGAGAGGAAAAACAGUGCAUUAAAUUAAAAGAAAAAGGAUACUCCCCAGAUAUCUGCUGCAAUUCUUGGUCUGUGAUCCUGGGCCAAUAGCGAGGAAGCAACUGACUGCGACCUCGCCCUUCAGCAGGAGGCCUGGCAAUGCGUGUUUGAGAACCCAUUCCUUUAGUGUUCUCAGAGCCUACACUGGAGCCAGGUUUGGGGGGUUUGGGCAGAAUCUGGCGUGCCCUUUGUCCUUGCUGGGCAGUAGAAACUCUGUUCUGUUCGCUUCCUUCCACAAUCCCUUCAGAAAUGGGCAGGGCUGAGCCUGAAGCACUUAGAGCGUUGCUCAAUGAGAAAUUUACAGAUGGCUGAGCUAGAGAUUCAGCCAUGUCUUUAAACCCUUGAUUUUGUCUACUGAUCUCUGGUUUGACAAACAUGGAUGAUCCAACAGAUUGGGGGGUGAAAUUGGGGGAGCUUGUGUUGACUUGCUCAAAAGGAAGCGCGGUUCCUUCACCUUUCUUCUGCCCAAGAGAUGCAUUAGUUCCAACUUUAUGAGGCUUAAACAUUUUUUUGGAACCAUUUACAUCCACAUUAUUGCAGAGUUGGAGCAGACUGUCAAAACUUCUAUGACCUAUUGUACCAUUGGGAAUUUCAUCUCCGAGGAUCUAUAAAACAAACAGUAGAAGCAUCCACAAGUCAAAACAUAAAUAAGAAAAACUUUCGCCUGCUUUCUCACUAAACUUUCUCAUAGAAAGACUUUAAAUGUAUAGACAAUAAAAGCUCACAGAGAGUAUCCAAGCAUCCAAUGUCAGAAAAAUUUAUGCAAAAGAACAAAAUUAAAAUGAGACAAAUCCACCUGAGGGAGAGAAAGAUCAGCAAUCUUUUUUAAGAGAUUAAAAACAUUGGGUCUACCUUGUCCUCACAUAUAAUCAUGCAUGUUCAAAUAAAAUAAAAAUCGCAACUCACCUAUCAUGAUGGUUCAAAAAAUGCCAUUUUUGUAAGUCAAAAUGGAGAAGCUUGUUCGAAAAAUGCAUGUUCAAACAAAAUCACGCAUGUUGAUGCAUGGAGAAGCUUAACUGACUGAUACUUCUGAUAACUUAGUACAACUGUUUUAGUCUCCUAUGUUUUAGUGACCACAACUAGAUAAGGAUGAAUUAAAAGACGUUUUUUGCAUCUUGUCAUGGUUGCUACGUAGAAAUGCUAAAUACAUUGCAAAUCAUUGGAAGGAUGAUAACUAUCCAAUUGUCAUCAGGUUUUGCAAGUGAGUGAAAGAGUGAAAACUUGAAGAUGGCUUGUAUUAAGCUUGCCUUUAUCAUGAAGGCAUUCCAGAAUAACUCAAAGUACAACAGAAGCAAUUACUCUACCCAGGUUGUUUUCAGCAGAUUCAUCAGAUGAUGAAUUACCUUAACCGUUCUCAAUGAAGGAGUAUCCAUUUGCUUGACACACGUUAUACAACCCACACCUCCGAAAUCCAAGAACUCAUGCAACAUUUUUGAAGCGACACACCCACAAUGGAUUCGCUGCACAUUACUGUCUUCUUAGCUAACAGUACUCAAGAAAAAGCGAAGAAGAAGACGAAAUAAGGGCAAUAGACAGUUGUAUCACCUUUCUGCAUAUUUUGCAUUCCCUCCAACCAUCCUCAUCCAGGUGGAAUUUCUCACAGAAAACUAGAUUUUCAUAAGCAGUUCUGCAGAGCGUGUGUCAGGCAAGCCACCACCACAACAACAACGACAACAACAACGUCGUUAUUAGUCCUCAAUCAAUAAUAUAAGACAACACAUAACAAUCUAGAUGGAUCAAACAAGUCGUGGACAAAAUACCAAAGAAACUGAAAAUUCUAAUUUUUACUUAAGAUUGGAAGUAUACGAGUUUUAGCAAAGACACCACAGAGCCAAGAAGCAAUCCCUUUUGCUCUCAUUUCUUCUGCGUAAGAUUGUAUACUUUUUAUUUCAUGAAAGACAAAAUUAAUGCCGAAUUAAUAACCAAGAUAAUGGACAGUCAUCGCAUUAAUCUCAUUCGGACUUUGUAUUCUUUGACCAAUGCCAACUGAAAAAACCUAGUACCAGCUAGUGUAAUUCGGCCCUCAGAACAAAAAACACGGGUGAUUUAAUUGGAGAAAAAAAGGCUUAUUGGACGCCCAACUUUUACGUGUAUGCAUGCAAGAACUCUAUGCCAAUUAUUAACCCCUGUACGGAAAAAUCGUUUUUUUGACAUGAGCACGGCUGCAUGAAUGCCAAUCUCACCAACACUCUUUAUACAAAUGGCAGUUGUAAUUUUUGCAUAAUAAACCUCCCAAGCCACAUUGACAACAUUUUGAAAAAUAAAAUUUAAAAAGAAGUAAUUAAUGAGAAUUUCGGAUGUGUAUCCCGGAAAAAAUUGGAAUGCGGAAAAAUUGGCGUAUAAUAGGAAAUCGAAGAUAUAGGGGAAAACAUAUCUAAAAUGCCAUCAAAACAGAGAAUUAAGCGGCGGGGAGUUAUUUUAGGGAUCCCAUAAUCAGCAUCCCCAAACUGCCCCUAAGAGAACAAUAUGAAAUCAAAAAAAUUUUGAGAGAUACAGGCGAAAAUUGAAAUCAAGAAUUUACCAAGAAAAGGGAUAGAAUUGGGAAUCAAGAAAAGUUUUUUUUUUUUUUACCCGCAGCUGGAGCAGAGCGUGGCGAAUCCACCCGAUUUCAAUCCCCAACCUUGCUUCCACUCAGGCGACGUCGUUAAACGGCACACCUCGUUCAUGCAAAUCUUGGACCCCAUCUUUUUCUCUCCGCCCAAAUGCUACGAAUCAAAAAUCCUACAUCCCAUGUACGAGGAACCAAAAUCCUCGCCAAAAACAGAAUUCAGACAGUCCAACAAAACCUAAAAAACACAUGAGGAAAACAUUUUGACCCAGAUCAAACGCACGCAAAAGAAAUCAACGACCAAAACAACCAAAACCAAUACACCUCACCUAGUUUAAAUAAAUAAAAUGCCACGUCCACAUGUGACACUCGAAAUUGAGCAGCUGAAAAACAACCCCAAGCAAUUCGACCCAAAAAAUCAUGAACUAAAUCUGAAAUAAGAAAAGAAGGAAACUGGGUUGCGAGUCAAACAGGGGUGGGAUGAAAGAGGUGGAAUGAGAUGGGCAACGGCGGAUGCAGCGGUGGAGAUGGAUUGUUUGGAUGAGGUAGCUAAGGGGGAAUUCUACGAAAUCAACAAUAAUAUUAUGUAUGUUGGCAUAGCAGCAGAGAUACACAUGAGAGAGAGAGAGAGAGAGAGAGAGAGAGAGAGAGAGAGAGCGAGAGGGACAGAGAAGGGGGUGGGCGGGGUAGAGAGAAGAGAGAGAAAGCGUGUAUGCAUGCAAAUGCAAAGGAAAACAGAUGCACAAAAUGCAUGCACGACACUUGAAGCCACCGCGACCUCCUCUCUCUCUCUCUAUCUCUAGUCUCUCUCUUGUAUGUAUCUGUAACACCUUAGCCAAAUAGCACCUCACAGCCCCCAACCAUUUUUUCUUAAAUUUUGGCCCUAACUAAAGUUUGGACUUUGGGAGUAGUAGCAGAACGUGUCUUUGCUAGUCAUGGGUAUCUUCCCUUUUUUUUUUUUUUUAAUUUAAUCCUUUUUCUAUCUUGCUUGCGGGUUUAGUUUGUUUAUUAGGACAGUAAAACAAUCUGACCUUUUUAAGUUAGCGGAGGCUGGAAACGAAGAAAUGAAUGAGAAAACUACCAGUAGUACAGUAAAAAAGCAGCAGUAGUUUUUUGGCGUAGGUUUUAUUUAGCUACUAGCUAGAAAUAGGAAUCCCAUGAGGAGGAUGAGGGGAAUUUGGAGUUUGAGGAAUUUAAAGUUAAAAACUCCGUCGUCGUGGGUCAUGUGAGAGAGGAGAUGUCAAAUUAGCGCCACCCCAGGUACGUGCUACAAAUACCACAACUAGUAGUUGUUGUAGUACUAAAUAAAUAGUCGUCCAAACAAAGCACAAGAAUUGUAGUGGAAGCGGUUAGCGUUGUUAGAGCAGUCCUAGAUUUCAUUUCACAGUUCACGGCUGCUGCACUUGUUUACUGUACACUUACACAAGUCAAAGCUUUUAUCCACUGCUGUUACUAUUAUGGUGCUCUUCUCAGAACAGUUCUUUAGCUUAUCAUACGUUACAUUUUUCUUAAACAACAUGCAUGCGUACAAAUUUACGUCUUAGAGUAUGGCAUAAAGGAUAUCAAAAUUUACGUCUAAAGCAGCGGCAGCGCAUGUCGUAUAUCAAUGGUGAUAUAUAUAUAUACACACACACACACAGUGCCAUAUAUAUAUGCUCCUCACCGCAAAGUUGCCAAAUUUAUUGUGCCUUUAACUGACUGACUCCCAAAAAAUUAAUGGAAAAUAUUUUUCUCCAAGUCCUGUCCAGGGAGGAUCCUAACCAGCUACCCAGUCAAUGCAUUAAAUACAAAAAAGAUGGUCAUAGCUAGCAAUCCUACAUAUGCCACGUACUUUAUCUUUAUGAAAAUUAUUGCACCAAACGUGACAUCAUAUCAUGCAUUUCCUCCCUACCAAAAACAAAAAAAAAAGGACCUCAUCUGCAUCUUCAUACUUGCUUACCGACAACCGUAUAAUUUCGGAAUUGUAUAAUUUCUUAUUAUUACAUAAAAAUUAGGUCAUAGAAUAUACUUUUAAACGUCGAAAAAAGCAGAAGAGGAACAACGUCAACAUGGACUUAUAACCCAUUUUAAUAAAUUCAAAAUCCGGGCAUCAUUAAUUAGUUCGUGUUGCUAUUUGUUAAGUCAACCUUAUUGACUCGAAAAUAAACGAUCAAAAAAGUAUAUAUAAUUUUCUGGGUCUUUUUUCCCUUGUUUUCUUUUCCGGUGAGAUGCUGAAAUUAAUAUGAGUGUGUGCUGCCCGAAAUCAAGCUUACACCCUUCCCAUGUGGACAGGUGGAUCGAUGUGUGUGUGUGUGUGAGAACAGGUGGAUGUAUGUGUGUGUGUGUAUAUGUAUACAUCCACCUGUUCACACGCAUAUAUAUAUAUAUAUAUAAUUUUGCAAUAAUUUUGGACUUUUGGGACAAAGACGAUAAAGUAAAUAAGCCUACAACUGUUGUAGCGGGUUGCUUGCAGUUGUCACUUGGGAUCCUCGGUGACAUGUUUUCUAUGCCAAUCCAAUGCCACCUAUAGUAUUGCGCCAAGUGUCCUAUUAUUAUUUACACUUGUGUUAAACCAAACUAAGUUGAAUUAUUAAAAAAUUAAAGUGUAAAUAAUAACAGGACAUUUGGUGCAAUACUAUAGGUGGCAUUGGGUUGGCAUAGAAAACAUGUCACCGAGGAUCUCAAGUGUGCAGUUGCAGGCAUAUUUUAGUUUUUACGUUAAAUUAACCAGCAGUGAUAAUUUAGAAACCUGCGUUUUGCACGAACGACGCCUUUCAACCGAAUCUUAGCCGGCCCCAAGCCCCGAGGAUUUGGCUUCAAAAUACGUACGAAUAAAAAGGGAAGCAUACAACAGUCAAUACUGGACUCUAAUGGACGAAACCCGUGGUCCUCCAUUUCUGGGCCUUCAUCGACUUGAGCAUAUAUCUGUAGAAGAAACCAUAUCAACGGGGGCAACUCGUAUUUGGGAAGAACGUCGCGGAUUGAUAACCAUAGAGAAAUUAAAGCUCCAUGCAUAUAAUAGGUCAUCUUGAGUGAGUAGAUAAUUAGUCAGAUUGUGCUGCAUUUCCCGUGUAUGCCUCUAAUGAUGUGACAGAUAAAAUUUAUUAGUGCUUGGCAAAUAUGUGUCAAUGCAACAUAUCAUAUCACCGCUCUGGCUCGCCGCUGCUUAUAAGCUUGAACAUGGCUGAUGAGCCUCCAGAUUCUGCGACGUUCAUUUGGUUUCUCUUUCAUUAAUAAUGGAUAUGAGCAGGAGGACUAGCUAGCGUGUAAAAUAUAAGCAACAAACUAUCCCCGUCUGCGUAUCUCUUUCAAUUCCUAAUAUGUUGUUAAUUACCUCAAUACAAACCAAAGGCAGAAGACCACCUUAUUAGAAAGACUGUUUGUCCUGGAAGAAGAGACUACUAUUUUCAUUAGAUCUAACCCUGUUCACAAACCAAAUGAGCAAUUAUAAAAUGCUAAGUUUUUUUUUUUUUUUUCAGACAAAACGAGUCAGAUUCCCACAUCCAGCAAAAAAAAAAAGGUAAUUGCGUGACAAGUCAGAAUAGCAAUAUUUAUGAAUUAAGCAUAACUUUGGAGUAAAAUUAGGGUAUACGUGUAUUAGCUUUUUAGUUCACAUUGUGAUGUGUAAAAAUCGAACACAAAAAGGUUCUCGAUGAACUGUCGUCCCCAAUCAAGCGAAUACAAACUGACUGACAAGAUGUAAUAAAUAAUCAACGUCUUCUGAGGUGUGCGUGCCUGUUUCAAGAACUGUAUUAUGUACAUAGUCUCCUACAUAAAGCGUAAACAAUUAAAUAUAAGGUUUACAAGUCAUAUAUACUUUCAUUAUGAGCACUGAGAUCUGUAUUAAAAUCUUUCGGGUACCUUCUCCUCAAGAUAUACAUGCAUGCGUUUAAAUCUUCUUUUUUCAAUUCUAUUUUUUAAAUUUCAUUCCUCUCAUGCUAAAAAAAAAGAUACAUGCAUGCCAAUUUUUUUAUACAUAAACACAUCUGAUCAAAGCAUGUAUCCCAAAAUUUCAUUUUCUAAAGUUUUGCGAUAUAACUAAGGUGGCAGAAUUUAAGUAACUCUUUGAUCAAGUUAAUUGAAUUGGCUGGACAACAUACUAAUAGUAUAAUCCCUUUUUUUUUUAAAUAUUGUAAGCUAAUUAUUAUAUACUUCAAAUCAUAUUUAUUAAACCCGGCUCGGAGGGGAACCCGGCGAAAGAGGUGGGUGAACGGAUUACUGGUUCAACCAAUGGAUGAGUGGUUCAACCGGUAGGUCAUUAAAUAUAUUUAAAUGUUAUGUUUCAUAAUUGUUGAUAUAGUUAAAACUAUAAUAAAUUAUGUUAUAGUAAAUGCUCAAUUAGUCUAAUUUAUUAUAGAAUCAUUAAUUAUUAUAAGAAUUAACAAAACCUAAAUUCAAUUAGUAAUCCAUCAAAUUUCAAGUAUACAAUUUUAUCUAAGUAUAAUUAUCUAGUUUAUUUAUGAAUUUUAAAUGCCAAAGAUUAUUAGGAACGAUAUUUGCCUUUAGAAAGAAUUGUGUGAUAUAUUAUUUUUUAAAUUCAUUUCAUAAUUUAUAGAGUUUGGGGAGUAAUAAAAUUUAUUAAAAGAUUUCAAAUAAAUUUUGUUUUUAAAAAAUAUAAUAAGAAUAAAAGUCUAAUAUAUAAAUAAAAAAAGACUCAAUAAUCAACAAAUGAGUUGUUAGUGUAGCAGUUGUUGCGUUUCGAAGUGUUCGAAGUGUCUUCGGACCGGUUCAUCGGAUUGACCUGUCGAAUAUACAAGAGGUCGCGGGUUCGAAGUGUCUUCGGACCGGUUCAUUGGAUUGACCUGUCGAAUCGCCGGAUCGGACUGAGUUUAAUAACUAUGCUUCAGAUACAAAAUUUAAAGUUAUAUAUAUAUAUAUUAAAUGUGCACCUAGAUUUCCCUUUUCUUUUUUUUUUUUCCAAUUUCUCUUCGGUUAAACAUGUAGAUCGGGGCCGGGCUGCGGAAUGGAAUGAUAGACCAAGAUUUGAUGGAGGCUUUUGCGGAAAGAUAAUGCAUCAAAAGAUUCUGGGCUCUGACUGGCGAUACGUUUUCUAAUUUCCUAUGGACCAGCAAAUUAGACAGGGAACGCCAAGUUCGCCAGCCUCUAUAUGCCCCCCAUCCCUUCUUUAUCGACUGCCCUUCUUUCAGCAGCCGCCCUUAUGAUUAUGGGGCAGGCAUCUUGCUCGGUGACUUACAGGUCAACGAUUAGAUAGACGAGUGCCUGCCUGCCUGGUUAAUUGUUUAAGCGUUUUGCAAUUGUUAAAUAUUUUCUGCAGAAAGUUAAAAAGGAUUCCUUUUUCCUUCAAUUCUUUAUCGAAUGAAUGUCUUCUAAGGUUCAUUCAGAUUAUUGUUGCCCAAUUUGUGAAACUUCUUUGAAGUCCGGCAAAGAAAUUUUAAGUCCCAAUUUGUAAAACCUGACAAGUACCAAUUCAAUGCACUUGAGAUUGGGGGCAUUUGCUUUUCCGGCGUGGUGAAGAUAGGGGCGCCUGCAAUUUUAAAACAAAUAGGGUUAACAACAAAUUGUCCACUAGAAAAUUACUACAUGUUCUUACUUUGCUCUCUUCUUGUCGAAUUAAAUCAAUUUGCUCUAUGAAAAUUUGAGUUCCUUUUUUUCCUUCGAUUCUAUUAAAUCAAGAGGAUUUCGUAAUGUAAUAUGUUUAUGUUGUAGGAAAAGGACAAAUAUUCGAUUAAUUAAUCAAUGAGACUAGUUGCUCGUGUGGACAAAUACACCUUAAACUUCACGUGUGUGUUUGUGUGCAUAUAUAUAUAAUUAUAUAUGUUUUUGUCCUAGUUCACAAUUUGUUGUGAGUGUAUUUGGUCUUUCUAGCCCCGCGUGAAUGGUCCAGCAGCAGCGCCUCUCACCAGUGAAUCUUGAGAUCAUAAAUUCGAGUCUCCGCUCCGCUGGAUUCCUCCGCGCACUCAACGUGUUCGGGUCGGGUUGGGACGCCGGACCCGAGCCGCAGGAGAUUAGUCGGGCCCCGUAAGGAUUGACCCGGACACUCCUGUGUCGACAAAAAAAAAAAAAAUGUAUUUGGUCUUUUUACAUGUGCGAAAAACACUUGUUUGCCCAAUUGAUUGAGCUCGUUGAAAUUCCAAAGUGCACUUGACUUUUGUUCGUAACAUAUCAUGCAUCACAAGACACAAUGAUGUUAUAUUAGAUUUGAUGUUGCAUUUGUGGAUUUCUUCCCAUUUAACAAUGAGGUAAGGAUGUUAGAUGUUGUUUGAGAGUACAUUUUCAAAUUAACCAUACAAUUACCCUCAGCGUGUCAAGUCGCACGCAAUUUUGAAUCGACGAAAAUUUUGGUUGGUUUCAUAGACACGAUGACAUGAAAAAAAAAAAAAAACAGCGAAAGAGCAUCAAUUUUGCAAGCAAAGAUAAAAUUCAGCAGUAAAACAGCUAGAUUUCUGAAUAGAUAAUUGCCUCAGUAAACCAGGUGUUGCUGCAUUUUAUUGAUUGCAGCAAGAACAUAUCACAUACUAUUGAGUUUGUGAACUAAAGAGUAAAAGCUCUCUUUACUCUUUAGCACAAUUUCCAUGUCAACCGUCCUAAAGAACUUCACAAGUUGUAGUAUCAUCUGUUGGAAAUAAAAGGCGUUACAUUCUGGAAAUGUUCGCUUCCACUAAAAUAGCAGGGCUUGUUAAACGCUGAUAUGGAUGGAUGCACAUUAAAGAUUACCCACCGAAGAAAAACAUGCACAUGAUAUUGGUAGUAUAAUAUAUCAACAUUUUGCGAAUGCGAGUUAUAUGCAACCCUUGAAAUGUCAAUUUCUUGUUCAUUUAGAGGCUAAGCCGCUUCAUGCAGAUUGAAGAUAUAGUAAUAAAUAUAUGCAGGGUUUCUAACAAUCCAAAAACCGCUGAUAUAAUAUUAUUGUUGGUUUUCUGCUAGUAUUACUUUUUUUUUUUUUUUUGGCCAGCAAAAAUACAUUGUGUAACCUACUCUAUCCUAAUCUAGGAGGAGAGGAAGGCUAAGGAGACUUGUGUUAGGAGUUAGUAGAUGUACGGAUCCAACUAAAUCAAGAGAAUGCUAUGACACUACUAUCCUUAGAUUUUUUUUUUUACUGUAGGUAAGAUUUGAACCAACACCUACCGCGCUUUCCUGGUGAAGACUGAGCUAAGCUCGGUGGUUUUUCUGCUAGUAUUACGGUUUAUUGAAUUUUGUUUUUCUUUUGGAACUCUGGGCUGACGUACACUAUGGAUUAAGCAGUUGUUCGAAUGUUGACUUGCCACUGUACAAAUUUUAGUAGUGCAUGUUUCCUUGUUUACAGCUAGCAUCUGAUGCAUUAUCCAUCAUUCAAUAAUGUGAAGUGUGAAAAGUCAGACUACCAUUUACAGUUUUUAGUCACCUUCUUUACUCGUUCUGUACAUAUAGAUGCGCACGCUAAUUGUUGUAUUCGCAGUAUCAAUAAGGCUGUGACGCAGGUAUUAGUUUGCACCCAUAAUCUCACGUGCCACAAUUCCGUCUCCUCUGUUAUCAUCGAUUGCAAGAGCGAUUUCAAUAUACAAAUUUUAAUGAAAAAAAUACACGAAGAAUUAUUACAUACAAUCGGAUAUAUAUACAUACAUAUAUAUAUAUAUAUAAAUAUGUGUGUGUGUAAAACGAAGAUCCAUGUAUCACAAUGGAUUGACAGACUCAAAUUAUUUUUUUUUAUUUUAAAAUUUUACAAAUAACAACUCCUAUACUAUACUUUUAAGGGACAGCUGAGUUAUGUUAUGAUGGGAAUUGGAAAAAAAGGCUUUGAUUGACCCAAAAAGUUGGUUAGUGACCCAAAAAAUCAUACAUGCAUACCAUCUUGUUUCAUAUCUACUCAAAAUCAACGCGAAAAAUUCACAUCUCGUUUCAGACUUUUCCUUGCUGCAGGGCUGGUCAGAUUCGUACAAUCAAACAAAAUUUGCACAAGCAGAUUCUCUAAUUGCUCUUUCUAACAUAAGCAUUAGGAAACUUCUAACUUUCUCCCCCUAUUCUGAAAAUUACGAUGCCGUAUUAGGCACAUAUUCCGACCUGAAUUGAUGGUUCAGAUCUCUUCCAUAGUCAACUUGGAUUCCUCAUUCUCCCAUAUCUCUGUAUCGUUCUCAUUCUCCCACAUGGUGACAUCUUUUUUCUGCCAAAUCAAUGAUAUUCAAGCAAGGAAAGUAGAAUUAUCAUCUACCGCGUUUGUUCUGAAGGUCAAGAAGAUGAAUUCGACGGGAUGCGAAUUUAAUCCCUUUUUUGGGUUCUUUUUGCUUAACAAAAGUUAAUAAAAGAAAGAAACCAACAAAUUCUGUUGAUUUUGUUUGUUCACGUAAUAGUCAGGAAGAUAAGCAGUGGUACUAAAGUUGACGGGCUUUUUAACGCUGGCUUAGAGGGUAAUAAAAGAAUGGAAGAAUAGAAUACAGUAACAGAAUCAAGCCACGCAUGGGCCAUGGGGCAUGGCAUGAUGGAGUAGCCUUUUGCCAAACUGAGACAAAUUCGUCCUUAAUCCUCCACUCCCGCGUGAAAUGUGAAUGGAAGGGUGUGCAGUGCAUCUCGAGAACAAAAUAGGCAGGAAUCAGUACUGAGCUGGAAGGAUCUCUGUCUAAAGAUGAAGAGGAUAUAAUGGAAGAGGAAGAUAUAUUACUGCUACCACGUAGGAUAGGAAUUAGGGAGGGAGGAAAUACUCUCUCUACUAAAAAGACUUGAAAGAGGGAACCGAAAAAGGAAGACUGAUGCAUUUUCUCUUUGUUUUUCCUCUCUCUCUCUCCUCUGUUGCCAUGUCUGCAACCUUGUCCCAGAAACCCAAAAAGAUCACGUAAUAUCUGUGACUUGAUUUUAUCACGAUUCCACAAGUUUUUCCCCUCUCCCUACAGAUGCAUUUGCGUAUCGAAAGUAGAUUUAGUACCCACAUUAUUGUCUUAAUAAUAAGGGGAUCCUCUCCUUUCCAGUUUCCCCUAUAAGUAUUAGUGGCAAUUGCCAUUCCCCUUCCCAACGGACCCAACCCCCCCGCCCCCCACCAUAAGUUAAAAUCCUCUGCUCGUCAGUUGGUCGUUUAGCGUUCAGAAGAAGACAUUAUAAUUAAUGAGUGUCUUGGUCCUCUCACGAGAGCCUUUGUCGGUUGCUUUUUGUUGGGUUCUAUAGCUAGCAGCUAUGGCAUCUUCUUCAAGAGGUCGAGAAUCGGAUGAGAGACCCCAUGUUUUAGCAGUGGACGAUAGUUUAGUAGAUCGCAGACUCAUUGAGAAGCUCUUCACCAGCUCUGCAUGCAAAGGUAAUGAACCAUUCAUUGUUCAUUCCUUCCCCUUUUUUUUUUUCACAGGUUCUCAGGCUUCUUCUUGCUCUCUCUCUCUGUACAAUUCACUCGCUCAAGCAGUCAAGCCACUACUCUUUUGAAAAAAAAAAAAAAAAGAAGAUGUUUGGCAAGUGGCAACGAAGCCUAAAAAUCUCUUCAAACCUCACAAGUCAAGUCAGUAUAGAAACGAGGAUGGACAAUGGAUCGUGGGCGACGCUGUCAGAGUAGUGUUUGUGGUUAUCCUUUACUCACCACCCGACCGCGACCCCGACCCCAACCCCAACCCCAACCCCAUCCCCAACCCCACCAGUUACGCCGCUUAAAUGAUGCCAUAGCUUCGGGAAGAUUAGUCCGGGUGGCAGUAGUACGGCAUAUCUAUCGCUUUUAAUAACAUCACGCCUUGUGCAUGUUUCUAAUCUGGCAGAAAAUUGUGGGCUUGAUUGAGGUGACGGCUUGCGUUUCUUUAACCAACCAUUUUUGACAAAUUGACAUCAGUCCUUCCUAAUACUCUGCUUUGUUAUUUACUGCUUGACGUGUCACAUGUAGUAGUAGUAAUUCAUUGUUGGCUCAUUUUACUGUAAUAGUAGAUAGUAGUAGUGUAUGUCGAAUGUGACGGGGUGUGAUGCUUCCCAACCCCAGUUUCUGGAAAGAACAAUGUAAUGGGUUUUGUUUUGGUUCACUGAAAAAUCCUCCUCAACAAGAUCUUCAAGAUUCAUGCCAACUAAUCCUGAAAAUCACAACUGAUGCAGUUUUAUCACAUCAUCGCCUUCAAAUUUGCUGCUGCUACCACUUUUUUUUCAAGGGCUGAAAGUGGUUUAUUGUUGGACAUCAAAUGAGGAGGGCAAGAAGCGAGCUUAAAAAAUUUCUUGUAGACAAAAAAAAUAUACACUUCUAUUUCAAAUGCCAAUUUCGCACCAUGUAGAUCCUUUAUUAUCGUACAAUAAUUCUGCGCUGAAUUGGUCCCCGGUAUUUUGUGUGGUAGUUACGACUGCAGAGAACGGGCAAAGGGCUCUCGAGGUCUUAGGCUUGGGAGAUGGACAACACGCCAGCAACUGUGUAAGUAGAAAACUCCUAUAACCUUGCUUUUAAGUUGAUAAAUAGGUGAAUGAAAUCUGCAGCUCUUAAUAGGCAAGUUAUGCGCUUCAAUCUUUUCGUCAAUGCUACAAUUUUUUUUUUUGGUUGAUAUAGACUAUUACUUUAUAUUUUUCUGGCUCAUUUUUUUCUGAUGAUGACUGCAGUUGAUUGAUACAUUUUGCAGGUGUCAGAGAUAAACUUGAUAAUUACCGAUUACUGCAUGCCAGGGAUGACAGGGUAUGAGCUAUUGAAGAAGGUCAAGGUGAGCCAUAUUUCACUUUAUGCAUUUUCAAAGCAAGCAACCAGAUAAUUGGUUGCUCUCGUUUUUAUAGAUUGAAAAUUCAUGGCGAAUGUCUUAACAUGUUUCGUUACUGAACAGGAAUCAUCCAGACUGAGAGAGAUACCAGUUGUCAUAGUAUCGUCUGAGAACGUCCCAACCCGGAUUAAGGAGUAAUAAUCAGGCUGCAAAUUCUACUAAUUUUAAUCUAAGUGGCACAUGAGGCAAAUUUAAUAGCGUUAAAAGUUUAUGCUUAGAAAGAAACCCAGAAAUAUACGUGAAAUCAACUCUGACAUGCCUCAAUUCUUGUUAACUCAAACUAGGUGCUUGGAAGAAGGAGCUCAAGAAUUCAUGCUAAAGCCUCUCAAUCAAUCAGAUGUAAUGAAAUUGAGAUGUUAUAUGAUGAAAUUAAGCCACCCAUCCAAAGGACAGCUCUGCAUUGGGAGAUAAAAGUUAGCAACUCUGAAAUGAUGGAUUUGAUAGAAAGAAAGGUAUUAGGUAGGCAGAGAUUUGUAUCAACAUCAAACUUGUUAUCAGUUGAACAAUCCUCUUUUGUAUGUUCAUAUUUUGUUCCAUUAAUAUCUAAAGAAAUUUUAAUUUAAGAAAAUGUUCCAAAGCAAUCUCAUGAGGCCCCCCAAAAAAAAAGGAAAAAGAAAUAAAUUCUGCUUGCGGCCCAUUCCUUUUCCAUUCACUUCACACUAAUCAAAGAACUGCCAGUCAAGCAAGAGAGUAUUGUGGACAAAGCAAAGUCAUGCCAAAUAAUCUGAGGUCUAAUUGCUCGUAAAUAUCCCUUGACAAACUUUUCGCAGAAGAAAAAGUUGUAGGGGCAAUGUAGGACAAGCCAAGGAAUUCAAUAUGCUCAAAGCUUCAAGCCUUCUUCCCCGCUACCUUAGCAGAUGCUUCCUUCAGUACCUGAAUGCAAAGAAGUUGCAGGACACAGCUAUCAAGCGUCAUCACCUGGCAUGUUGACUCAAUCCCACUUUUCUCCUCACUUCCUGUCCUUUCUUCAUGCCCAAAUCCUUCUUCCAGAUUUGCUAGUUGGGAAGAACAAAAGACAGCUGAUUAGCAGUCUUUGCAGAUUCGACUCUUACCAAUAACACAACAUACAAUAAAAAGUCAGUUCAAAGAUAAAAAAAAAAAAAGUAGUAGAUUUUACUUACCUCCGGAUCCAGUUUGAUGCAAAAAAGAGCUCUGAGCAUUAAGCUGACAUCUAACCACAAUGAAGAAUUAAUUAGGCUAAUUUAACGUUCUCUUUUUCCUGCGAAAGAACAAGAUUCUGAAGGUACAAAACAGAUUUUAUGCUAUUCACGUACUUAGCAUCUACAUGGGACGAAUUGCCAUCAAUACUUGAAGUAGCCCCAGAUGGUGAUGCAUCUUCAUCUUGGAGACAAUCCGUUUCUUUCACAUUCUCUCCGGCUUUUGAAGUCCCAUUAGUGAAUUCCUUGCAAUUAUUAGACUUGUCUUCCUCAUCAGGCGUACAAGUACACUUCCGACAUCCUGAGGAUAAUUUUGAAGCCUCAGUAGUGGAUUCCUUGCAGUCACUAGACUUGUCUUCCACAUCAGCUACAUAGAUAAACUUCCCACAUCCUGAGAAUAAGCUUUUUCUGCAGCGGGAACGCUCUCUCCAAUGCUCCAGUUUUCCAUGUUCAGAUACAGGGAGAUCAGUAUGUUCAUCUUCCUCCCUGGUAAUGCUUUGCAGUUCUGAUUCUGGAAAACUGUGACCAUGCAUUGACUUCUGAGGUUUAUACCCCCUAUUGCAGUGCUCAGAAAAAUUUAGCAUGCUUGACACUGGCGUAACUUUUUCCAACUUACGUUGGUGGGAAUCAUGUUCUUCUGAUGUCAGGUUGCAACAAGGUGAGCAAUCAGCAUGCACAUUGGUACCUCCGGAUGUGCCAAAGAGAUCUUCAAUCCAAAGUCUGGAGCUUGGAUUUGUAUCAUAUGUCCUGGGAUAAGGAUUAUGACGUGAAAUUGUCUUGCCAGGAUCAUAUGCUCCCUCAAACAAUCGGCCAUUCUCUGAUUUCAACCUCUUCUCAGAAGUCAUUUUUGAGUUAUCAGCUGGUUGCGAUCUUGAUGAAUUUGAAAUCCUUGUAAGCUUUCCUUGCUCAUUUGUGUUGUCCCCUUGCUGGUUAAUCUCCAACUUAUUGCAGGUUUUUACUCUGCCAUACAUAAUGUUUUCACCACAGAUGUUCUCUGAGCAACCAAAAUCAGCACUUUUCGGUGUCUGUUUCUCAGUUGAGUUCAAUGUGCCUUUCUUCGAUACACCCCCCACUGAAAAGAGAAUCAAAAGGUAUGUAUUGUGUAUUUUGUAGGGUGAUAAUUAAGCCAAAUAUCUACUGCACCACUAAAUAUGACCUGCGCUUGACGAGCAUGACUCCUCACUGUCAAGAAAUUAAUCGAGAUGUAAUUAGUUUAUAGAGAAACAGAGGCAUAUAUGACAUUUCCAGACAAGAACAGCCAGGUAUAAUGACCUCAGCAAACUCAAAUUGUCUCUUGUAUCUUCAGUUUUGAAGCAUGACCAUGUGGGUUGGUAAUCAAUAUCACCAACAUCAUGGUCUCUGUGAACUGGAGAUCUCCUGCCAAUAUAAAAGUUAUGGAGUUUAGUAGAAACGAGCAUGCUGGUGGAGAUGGGCUAUGUUAUUGAACUUUCUUACCAUGUCAUCUCCGGAAUUGUGGAAUCAUGAAAGUUCUCUGAGUUCUGGCGCUUCACAUAUAGCUCAGGUGAAUCUGAAAAAGAAUAAAUAAAUAAAGAGAGUAAUAAAGAAAAGAAUAAAAAAGGACAUCAAACAUGGAGCGGCGAUCACUAACUGAUAAACAUGCAAGUUUCCGGUAUGAUCUAAACAGUAGAGGAAAUGAAGACAACAGAACAACAGACUCCAAAAUCACUGAAGGAAGACUGAGAACAAAAAUUAGACAAACUUGAGAAUGAACUCCAUAGCUGAGAAUAAUAAAGCACCUAAUAAAGAAAAGCAGCCAGCAGCUGAGGAAGUGCAGAAUAGCUAAAUCAGAAUUAACAAAUACAAUAAAGGCAACCAAAGAAUGGGACUGAAAAGCACCUCUAUGUCCGAGUCUCUUUGAUUUUCUCAUUGUAGUCCUACACAAACGCAGUAAGAUGAUUAAUCUAUAUCAGAUGGUACUAUAUGCUUUAGUCAAAUAUAGGUCAAUUCCUGUAUGUAAAACCUGCUCUUCUGUCGAUAAGAGCCUUGGAAAGUAAAUUCUUCACUCCUGGAGUCCAUGGUAUAAUAAUCAUCAGAAGCAUCUUCUUGAUCCAUCCAAAUGUUGCAAGAUGAACCAAAAGCACUCUCGUCAAGAAUUUUGCCAGUUACAGGCCUACAGGUUGCUGGAUGACAUUAAAUAAAUAGUAAAUUAAAAUUUAUUACAUUAGAAGAGCCUGAACAUGAAGCAAAUGGGGAUGCCAAACAAACAAUGAAGCGCAUGGUACAGCAUGUUCAAUAAAUAUUUAGACCACAAACCCAAUUUUUUUACUUCUGUAUAUAGGUGUUUCAAAACUCUAAUCAAGACUAGCUAAUACAUCUCCCAUCUCCCCCAAAAAAACAGUUUGCAUUAAGAAUGACAAUGCUUCUUCAAACUGAUGUUAAUAGCUCCCAAACUAAAGAUUGACCUUAAAGUCCUUCCAAAAAAAGAUGCAGAAAAAUGCAUUACCAUCCCAACUGUGCCUAUUUCUCUCUGUUUUGUGGAAGAAUGGUUCAUCAUUCUGAAAAAGAUCAGUAAAACCAUUAUCAUUGUCAUCAAAUAUUGAGAAUUCUCUGGUGUCCAACAAAUCUUGCUUUUGCUUGCUGAAAGAACCCAAUAUGUCCUUUGAACAGAAAGAGUGCUCCACAGAACUUUUACAUAAGGGCACAUCAACUUCCUGCAUCAUAGCAUCCUGCAUUACAUCAAUCAAAAUACUUACUCCAUGAUAUCAAUAAUUACAAAGAAUGCUGGAGUCAAUAACAAACGAAACAUCAAGAGCCAUACAUGUGGAGGCAGAAUGCUGAAAAAAGUGUAACUCCUUUUAGCAACAAUUUUCAGAGCUACCAUAAUGUCAUAUCAAGGCACAUAUAUAUAGCUCUUUGUUUUAAAAUCAACAGGUAUUAAAUCACAAAGACCAACACAGAUAGAAGUCAGCAACAAAGAUCAAAUGCAAUAAAAGAUGUUUAUAAGUUUUUCUCUAUUGUGAUACUAGGCACAGAUAGCACCCGUUAGUUUCACAGAUAAGCAAGAGUACAACAUCAUAAGAUGCUCCUUUUAGUUUCCUUACUGUAAAAGCAUGAUCAUAUGUAAAAUUGAAUAAAAGAAAUCCCGUCCAGGCACUCUAAUUGAGAAUUGGUAAGAAAAGCUCCAGUAAAGAAAUUUAAAACUGUUGAUAAGAUUUAGAUUAUAUAUUCACAGAUAAAUUUAAAUUUCAGACGAACAUCACUGCUAAAUUUAAGUUUCAGAUGAACAUCAAGAAAGAAUAGAACAUUAGAAACCUUUGCGAGGGAUUAAUGACUAGAACUUGACACUUCAAGAGGGAAUUUGACAUGAAAAUGAAGCAUUGACUCUUUUGACAACGAGAUACCGAGUUACUGAAUAUAGAUUUCAAUACAUAGUUGACGAAGCAACCUUUUGACAGUAGAAAUUAGGCAUCAGCAUUUGCCUUACCAAUUCAAAUUCAAGGUUAACCAGCUCGCUGUUAAGGUUGAAUGAGUCAGCAGGCCUCAUAGCUUUUGAUGGUGGAGAGCAACCAUGCAAGAAGUUUCUGCAGUCAAACAGCACAAACUCACUCUUCACACAAUGCUUCAACUGUGGCUCUUGAGAGAUUAACUAUAAAAAUGAGAAUAAGCCUAUAACUCAAUGAUGCUUAUGAAGAGGAAGUUCUGAAUGCAGAGGCGGAAACUGAAGUAUUUAUGACAGCAAAUGGUGAAACAGGAAGGGUUUUUCUAAUGAUGGAUUUUGAUAAGCAAGAAUAUAUUUGAUGGCAUGACAAUGGCAUCCUCUACUAAAGAAACUAUUAAGAAUGCAAUUCCAUUAACCAUCGAUAAGGGCUUGUGGAUGCCUAAGCAAAGAGAAAGCAUACAAAAGAUAAACAUCAAAGCAAUACAUUGAUUUAAAAUAUCAAAGCAUACAUUAGUUGAAAUCCUUAAGCAAUGCUAGUUAUAUGAAAGCUACAGGAGUUAAGUUCUGCCCCCUUUCUUUUCUUCUCUCUCCUCAUUCACCACACUUUUUCAGAGUCUUCCCAUCCCCUCCUCCAGUGCACCUCCCCCCUCUCCUAUCCAUCUUUCCUCUAUUUGCUGCUAUCAUGUUUGACGGUCACUGAUCAAGAUGACCUCUGCAUUGAUGGGUUAUUUGCCAGUGUUUACUGGGACUUGGCAGACAAGAUAAUGAAAAAGAAAAUGAAGUAUCGGAAGGAAAAGGUGGUCACAUUGAUGUGUUGUGUUAGCGUAUAUUCUACCAAGACUCUAUAUCAUUUUUCUGAUGAUGAAAUAUUAUCCUUAAAAAUGAAGUAGAUAAAAAUAAGAUUCUCCAAAAGCAAGAUUAUAGGAAGAUGCUGUAAACCAUUGCAUCACUUAACAUAAUUUGACCACAUGACAAAACGAGGAAUUUUAAUACCUCAGGUAUGUACUAGGGCCACAUAAAUACAUUGGCUUAGUAUUAAGAGUUGACUCAGAAGUUCUCCACUUUAAGCUAAAGUAUUUGAUCUAAUGAUUGAGCUCCAACAAGCCACUAAGUUAGUACAAUAUCCAGGUUGUCAGAAUUUGGCAUAAUAUGUGGGAAGAUAUUCAACUGAAUUAAUGCCAAAAGUUUGUCAGACUUUGUUUGCAUGGGAUUUAGAUCUAACACCACCACUACAACUCAGAUUAGUUUGUCACUGGGCCCAAAUUUAGUCUGCACCAAUUUUAGUCACUUCUCAAAAGAUUGUUCUCUGUAUCACACUAAAGAUAUCUUACCUGCCAUGCACCUCUGGUGCACGAACUGGCGUAUGAACUGGAGUCUCCAUUUCCACUCUACCAACACCUGAUAACCAAGUGCACAUUCAGUUACAUUGGUGCAUCAUGCAUCAUGUAUGUUCAUAGGGAUCAUAAAUGCUCAAUAUGUGGAUAAAUCUAUUGAACUAAGUAACGAGAGUGACACUGAUCUCAAGUGACAGUGGGUAGUAAAAGAUUAAAGCAAGCAUUAAUCCUUUCCAAUUCUGAACUAUCAUUAAUUUUAGCCAAAACACGCCUGUUUGCUGAGAAAAUUUUCUUUUACUUCUAAUCACAUGCUUCUGCAAAUACUCAACUAAGCCAGACACGUAUAGAACUCAAAAGAAAAUUUGACAAGCAGCACAAACUGGAAGCUUACAAUCUUGGUACUGAAAAAUGUAGUUUCUGUUUCCUUGUUGAACAAUUAAACUUAUUAGGGAAUUGCAUUUUCACAAAUAAGGAUAAGAGAAAAGUAGAAUUAUCUGAUCAGCCUGGUACAUUGUACCUUCAAUUGAAAAUGCAGCAUGAGCUUCACGUUCUAAACUUGAACCAGUAUGGAGAUUUGGUUCAUCAUCUCCAAGUAUGUCCAUCAUACCUAGUUCUGUAAACAGUUCAGGAAAGGAAAUUACAUAAUUAAUGCAAAGAUACGAGAUCCAUAUAGCUCUUUACUUGAAUACAAGGAUUGGAUGGUUUUGACUCCAAAUUUUGCUUCUGGCAUCCCUUCUUUCUUUUUUGACAUUCAGUAUACCAGUGCAGAUUGUAAAUGCAACUUCAUAAAAUGAUAUAUAUUCAACCAAACUUUUGUUACCUUGAUACUCUGGGACCAUUUUUAUCUGAUUCAUCUUGUCAUCAUCUGAGUUGAAAGUUCUUGCAUCUUUACCAGAAGUGCUAACCAACAUCCUGAUAGCAUUGCAGGUGUUAAUUAUGCUCAAGACUUUCCAAAAAAAAAAAUCAGCAAGCAUGAAGAUCAAUUCUGCUUAAACUUGGCAGUCCAGAGUGGAGAACAAGUUUAUCAAUGACUACUCAAUAGCCAGCCAAGAUUAUUUUGUGAUGCUGAAUAAUCACUUCAGAAUACUACCAGUUGAAAGAAUACUUGUGAAUGUGAAUUUUAAGAUAUAAUUGACUAUUUGUAGUUUUAAUUACUAAACAUUAUUUUGUGAAUAUACUUACGUCUUUGCAUAUGAACUGCCUGGUUGAUAGCUUGAUGAAAGUCCUAUAACAACACAAAUUUGGGUACUAUUAUCUCCAGCCCUCAGAUUAGCAGACAAGCAGAGAAACUUGAUCAAAAGAAAAAAAAUUCAAUUAAUUUGAGCAGCAUACUUGCUUCCUCAGCUUCAGAGGGGCCGGAAGGUGUGAAUUUGUUAGCUUGAAAGCAUUGUAUUGAUUGUGGACACUUGAGUGCUUGAUAGUUCAGAGCAUGCUGCUCUGUUUCAUUGUUUCCUUGCAUGGUCAAGAAAGGACUCAGGAAGCAUACACAGACAUGUCAAUUUCAUCAAGGCAUUAGGCAACUUAAGCAUGAGACGUCCAGAUCAGACACAUAGGAUGGCCACAGCACCCAACAAGCAAUAAUGAAGUAGAGCACUCCUGAGGUUUUCAAGUCUAACAACUUUAUAUUCAAUGAUAGUAAUUAACAGGUUCUAGAUAUAAUGAUGCAAAUGAUUUGCUGCUCUAGUAGAUUCACUACCAACUGAUGGACUUCAGUCAUGCUAUGUCUCAUCAGCAGAAUUAAGUACAGGUUUAAGCACCCAAAGGGAUAGAAGUCAUUAGCUAUACUCAUUUAAAGUCACUAACCCAACUACUUCUCACAGUAGCACAAAAAUUGUAGUUUACUAGCAGAAAGUAUUUUAUAUUUAAGGAGGAAAAGUAAAAAAAUAAAAAGAUCUGUUGAAGUUUAACCGAAUCUGACAGUUGACCAGGAUCUCCAAUCCCGGGAAAUGGAACUGUUAGGUAAAAGAAAUAAAAAUGCAAGCAUGCCCCAUCAUUGUUUCCCAUAAAGUAGCUCGAAGGGAGAAAAAAAAAGGCAGCCCGUAACCCUUUAAGAGUUGGACUAGGAAAAAAAACAAACAAACCUAAAGGGUAAUUUGACUUAUUCUGUUGCACAACAGUUGAUAAGUUCUGAAAACUUAGAAUAUCCAGAGAUCUACUAUUUUCAGCAUGCUGCCCAUGGAUAUUGUGCUCCUCAGAAUCUUUCCUCCCUCCGGUCGCUUGCUGUUGCCGCCUUUUCUGCUCAAAGUAGUGUUUUUGCCUGUAAUAUUAAAGAAUAUGUAGCCUAUAUUACUAAUCACCCAAUAAAAUCCUUCAAAGUUCUUGACAAGCCAUGACAUGAGCAGAAUGUACAUUUGACAAGGGCUUAAAACUGUUUAAAAACAGUAAGAACCAUAAUUUCUACUUACCUUUUCUGCGUUGACAUUCUUGUCUGAAAUUUCAGCACGCCCCGGAAUCAGAAAGUUUUAUUCACCCAUAUAUGAAAUGGAGAGGAGGGAAAAAAGAUUAACAUGUUGAACUGCACAUAAAAAAGCUCAAAGAUGUUCCACCUUGUCAAUCUAUAUAAGUGAUGUUAUAGUACAAUCAUAUAGGACUUUCAAUAUCUUAGAUGCAAGCAAUUGUUUCAAAAACUUUUCAUCUUUUUAAAUUUUUUGUUAUUAAAAGUGCAAAGUUGUGGAAUGGUUAACAAAUUUUAAACGCAAUCUGACUUGUUGAAUGCAACUUCACUCGAAAGUGCAAUAUUUUUCAAGCAAUACAGCUUCAUGAUCUUGUUUUACAUGUUUGUGCUCAUGCAUGUCUCACCCUUUUUACUUUCUAGAAACAAAACUGAAAUGAUUUCCUAAUCGAGAAUUUUUAACAGGAAACAGUGGCAGAAAUUUUGACCGUUUUUCAAGAUUAAUCUAACGUUUACAAUUCGAAAAAAUAAAGAAAAGAAAUUUUCACUAAGAAUUAACAAAAUAAAAUCUAAUACGACAUCAGACUUACGGAAGUCACUUUCCGCCGAGAUCCGCCCAUCCAUUGCAACAUUUUUGAAUAUUCAAAUAUCUUUCUAAAGCCACAACCUAUACAAACACCCAAAAGCUGGAAAAAAUAAGUAAACCAAGAAAUAACUUAAUACCAGCAACUCUGGCAAUAGCACCAUAUAUAAUUAAGUUCUGAGUUCAAAUUCAAACACAAAACUUGCCAAAAUGUGAAAUUAGUAAUUAAAAAAAUUAGUCAGCUACACUAGCUUAUGAACGAAAAUAACAGAUAGGCAUCAUUUCUACUUCUUGUGUUCACGAAUCGAAAUUCUGUAUCAAUGCAAGCAGUUGAAAUCAAACGGGAACUAGUAUACAGUAAAUUUACUUGGGUCCUUGAUUGUCACAAUAACAAACUUGGUGAUGUAAAAUCAGGAUAUUCUCUAAAACCUAACGAGACACUGGUUAGCUAUUUCGCUUUUAGGAACUUAAUUACUUCAAUUCCAUAGGUAUCGAUCACAGUCCGGAAGCAAUCACGUAGACGCGAGUAUGUAGCGGGGAAGGUCUCGGUAGUAGUUAAACAGAAUUUGAGGGAGGUUUCCGGAGUCGUAAAUUACCUAGGCGGUGAUUUCACCGCCAAAUAGAAACCGAAAUGCAGGACAGCAGGAGAUCGACCGGAGAGAUUAUGCCGCUUUCUAUCAAAAUGCCGGCGGAGAGAAGCAUCAGUUUGUACUCCUUGUUUAAGUGAGAGGGGACGCGGGAGUUAUUUCGUGCCGAACGUUUCCAAUUACUAUGACACGUAUAGAAGUGUUUUAUUCCUUUAAGUAGCUACCGCUCGACGUAUUGUUUGCAACAAAAAUAAUAAAGCUUCUAACAAUUUCAUUGAUUAAAAAAAAAACUUUUUCCCCUUAAUUUGUACAUCCAUAGGGUGUGCUUUUUCCAUUAAUAUAAAUUAAAGUAUGUUAACUAAUCACUUUACUUUAGCACAACUAAGUUAUGAUUAUAUUUUGUUUGAUUUGUUAGUGAAUUUUAAGGAGACAACCUUGGCUUAAGUAUUGAGUAACUUGGCAUAUAUUUCAAUUCCGUAGGUCAAGGAUAAACAAGUCUUACAAAUUCUAUGAUGUUUUUUGUUUUUUGGAGAAUAAUUCUAUGAAGUUCAUUGUGUAUGUCGAUAGAGUUUCCAUGAACCUUUUUUUGCCACAUUUACCCAUAAAAUGGUCAAGCUAUUCACGAACAAUGUAACAUUUUGUGACCAAAUUGUAAUUCAUUAUUAACUACUUGUAUAGUUCCGUAACAAUAAUUGAGUAUCAUUUAUGGUAUUCACAUGAACAGUAAUCGAAUUCACACUACUAUUGUGAAGUUGUGCAAAUAAAUAAUAAUGAAUAAUGAACUAUAACUUGAUUCAUAAAUAGUUGUAUUCUGCCAUUUUUUCCAAUUAUACAUGUUAUGAGAUUAUUUUUCUUGGUAACAAUUAGGAUUGUUAAUGAGGUCGGGUUGGCUUAUACUAGUUUGUUUUUUCACCACAAAAUCCAAUAAAGAGUUAAGCACGGGCCUUAAAAUGUUCAAAUUCAAAUGGAUCAAACCCGAUAGUGCUAUUUCUUUUUUGUUUUUUUUUUUUUUUGGUUUUGGGGGGGGGGGUUGUUGCGGGUGGAGGUAGUGCUAUUCAAUUUUGGAUACAUAUUCGUCUUUAUUAUUCUAAAGGGGGGGGGGUGGCGAAAAUUAUUUUGGAUACAUAUUUGCUUUAUCCUAGUUGAGAAAAUUAUGCUGGGGAAAGAUAAAAGCACUAAAUUUUGUCAGCCUACCGCUGUGACUUUUAUAAAUCUUUUGUUGGGGAAAACGAACUUGUACAAGUCGACAAUGAUAUUUCGGCACCACUGAUUGAAUAUGGACAAGGGCUUUGCUGUGUGGAAAUUGACGUGGUUCAUCAAAAUCUUCACCGCACAAUGAGAAGAAUUUUCGUCCCCGAAUGCAUGAUCUUGAAAGUAUCCUUCGUUGCCAUCAACGAGUUUGACACAAAUUUCCAAAAGUAAAGGAACGAGUUUCGCAUUUUGUAUAUGGCGAUUGCCGGAUUGGACUUUUGUUUGUGGGGCGGGUGACCGAUGCAGCAUGGCCCAUAUACGAUGUGCACUCCGCAAAAGUUCUUCGAGGUCAUUAAACUCUCACCCACGAUCAUAAAUAACACACACAUACACUAGUCUUGAGAAACUCACAAUCCAACUCAAAAAAACAUGCUGACUUUCAAGCUACACUGAAAACCUUAAAUAGUACUCCCUCCCUUUUUUUAUAACUGACGUUUAAGGUUUUGCACGCCAAUUAAAAAAAGUUUUUCAUUGUUUAAAUUUAUACACUACUUUCCUUUUGUACCCUCAUUAAUUGUCCAAUUCACUCAUAUUUUCUCUCACUAGAGUAUUAAAUGGUGCUGUUUUACUAGGCCAAAAGCAAUGAGAGAAGUAAUAAUUACUAGGAGUAGUAAUUAAGAGCCCUGUAUUGGUAAAGAGAGAUAAAAAGGUAAAAUUGUGAAAAAAUAAUUAAUGCUGCAUGAGAAUAAUACAACGACAGAUAAAAGUACUUAAGAGCAAAUUUCUUAAACGUCAGUUAUAAAAAAAGGGAGGGAGUACACACACACCACUCACAUCGAGGGAAAGGGGGAGGGGGAAGGUCAUUAAGCUCUCAAUGUAGUCAAAGUUAAUAAAUUCGACUCAGAUCAAUAGGUCACUCAUUAGAUCAGUGAAUCACUGAUUGAACCGGCGGUGAGUGAGUAGUAGUUUAAUAUUUGUAAAUAUAAAAUAAUAAUUUUAAUAUAUAUAAAAAUAUUUAAUGAAAUGCUUUUAAAUACUAAUUAUUGUACUUAAAAAGAUAUAUAAUGAACAUAUAAAUAUUAAUAGAAAAAUUUAUUUCAUUUCAUCAUACUUUUACAUAAAUAAAUAAUAUAGUCAAAUAUAAAACAAAAUUGUGUCACUUGUUCCCAAAGAUAUAGCAUCAUUUUUUAUUAUUUUAUUUUUAUUUAAAAUAAAAUAAAUUUUCACUACUCAAAUAUUGUCAGUUUUAAAGUUAAAAUGAUUAAUUAUAUAAUAAAAAAGUAAACAGUUUUAUUUAAAAAAAUGUUAUUAUCAAAUAAAAAUUAAGCAAGUGGUAAAAUCUUAUGCAUAUUUAGAUGAAGAUACAAUAUACAAAUACUAUCAAAAGCGUAUAUAUAUAUAUAUAUAUAUAAUAUUUCAAAAACAAAGACCAAAAAUUUUUUUUUAAGAAAACACCGAGUAAACUAGAAAAUUGGCCGAAUUUCUGAUUGAACCCAUUAUCCGAUCAACCUAGAGAUUGGGCCCGACUUGAGAUCCGGACCACCUGGCCAAUCGGUUCCAUUGUCGUACCGGGCUGGUCAAUAUACGAUGUAUGCGCCGAUUUGCACUUGCCGUAUUGAACCGUAAUACCCACAUUCGAUGCAUCUGGUCCCGGCAGCAGGGUCCUAUAUAACUCGCAGAUUGCACAAAUAUACUAAUAUAGCAUUAUAGCCAGUGAAAUUUGGCAAAAUGGAAGAGAGUAGUGUGAUUCUGCUAGAUUUAUGGGUUAGCAUUUACGCGACGAGGGCAAGAAUUGCAUUGGCCGAGAAGGGGAUCAAGUACCAAGCUCAGGAAGAAGACUUCGUUUAUAAGCAGAAAAGUAGCCUGCUUCUAGAGAUGAAUCCGCUUCACAAAACCGUCCCGGUUCUGAUUCACAACGGCAAGCCCAUUUGUGAAUCCCUGAACAUUGUUGAGUACAUUGAUGAAGUGUGGAAUCACAAAUCUCCAUUGCUCCCCGCCGAUCCUUACCAAAGAUCCCAAGCCAGAUUCUGGGCUGAUUACAUUGAUAAGAAGGUUACUAUUACAUCCUCUCAACUUUUUGUUCUUUUUAAUUGCUGUUCCCUUGUUCUAGUCAGGUUAUAUCCCAAUCUAUAUUAUGCUAGUCUCAGGCUCUUAGCUGCCUAUAUGGGUUCUCCGGUGGCCUCCUGUUUACAUAUCCCUGUGUUUGGACGGCUCAAAAAAUCUAGGAAUGAACAAGCACUGUUAAUUGCUCUUAGCUUUUCUCCUAAGUAAUUUCGUAAUAUAAUUUUCGAGAAUCGCCUGAACUCCUGGUAAACUUUAGAACAAAUAUAUUGACUAUAAUUCUGGGGCGUGGAAUGCAGGUAUCUUCAAGGAAUAUAUGGGGGAACAAGGGGGAGGAGCGGGAGAAAGCGAAGAAGGAAUUUAUAGAAGCUUUGAAGAUUUUGCAGGGAGUGCUGGGAGACAAGACUUACUUCGGUGGUGAUUCAUUCGGCUUUGUGGAUAUAGCUCUUUUACCCUUUUCUAUCUGGUUUUAUACCUUGGAGAAUGUUGCCAACUUCAGCGUGGAGGCUGAGACUCCACAGCUUGUCGAAUGGGUCAAGAGAUGCAGGGAAAGGGAAAGUGUCUCCAGCUCUCUCCCUGACCCUAAAAAGGUCUAUGACUUCAUCUUGCCAAUGAUGCACAAAAUGGGUCUAGCAUAGCCGGAUUGGAUGGAUACUUUACGAGGAUUGAGGAAUAAAAGGGAGGCUAAUGCAGCUGAUGCAAUUUCCAUUUCAAAUGCAAUGUAACUUUUUUUCUUUUUUCUUUUUUCUUUUUUGGGGGUUACUGUUGAAGGAUGUAAUAUGGUGGCAAUAAAAAUAUGAUUUGGCCUUGGAGAUUGCUUUAAGCCGUGAUUAAUAUAAAUUGAACGUGCUUUUUAGUUUAGAAGACUCACCUCAGCAGAGGAUAUGAUUACUCUUUUUAUCUUCCUUAUCAUUUGAUUAUGGGUUGGAUGGAUUAGAAAUGCAGCAUUACUCUAAAAUAGGCUGGAUUUAUGGAUGAAGAAGAGCACGAAAAGUACUUGGCUCUCUGCCUUCCCCUGUUAGAGAAACUUUUUGGAUCAACGAUCCAUCACUCGAAUUUGGGGCAGGAACUGUUGCAACAGCAAUGAUUCUUGAAAAAUUUACUACCUUGAUUGGCCUAUAUAUAUAUAUAUAGCUCAAAUUAUGAGAUGCGCUUCAAUUUUAACAUGCAUGGGACUAACCCAAAAACAAAACCAAGUUUGCGUUAUAUUAAAACUGAUUUACCUCUUGGACAAAAUGAAUGAUUACAUUUUAUUGAAAUGCACAAAAUCAUUUUACUCUGCCCCGCUCUCCACUGCUAAUAAUUUUGAUGCUCUUCUAGCUUCAUGGGCUUCGUCAGUCUAUAUUGGACUUCAACUUAGAACUUGGACCCGCUCUGAAGUUAUAGCUUCGACAUUGGUCGCAAUUUUUUUUUAAGGCGCAUGGGUCCAUUUGGUAGAAUAGAAACCAGGAUGAUUGUGUUAUUCUUGGUACUAAAUAGGGGCGGUUUGGUAAAUAAGCGUAACCCUAGCAUUCUGCUCCAAAUCUUGGCUAUAAAUAAUUCGGGCUGGAGGUAAAAGACGGGUGGUGGGCAGCUGCGAAUUUCUUCAAGUGGUCUUCUACUGUUGUUAGCUUCAAUCUUUUCAAGUGGCGCUUCAAUUUCUUGUUCUGCUGAAAUUUUUCUGGACAACGGGAACUACAGUUUCCUUUAAUUUUCUAUUCUUUUUUUUUUUUUUGAAUUAUUGGUUGGAAAUCUUUGUGCUUGUACUAUGAACGUGAAUUUUGACCAUUUUCUAAAAAAGAUUUAGAACUGAUUAGACGGGAUCCGAUCUGUGUACAAUAAGCCGAUGCUCUGGAUAAAAUAGAAUGAAGGAAGCAUGGUAGUGUGCACAGAGAAUGAAAGGGUCGUCAUGUCUGCUCUCUCUGAUGCUUAAAUGAUUUGGGGGCCUGGAUUAGACCCACAUCUUCAAUUCUGUGACUUUGUUCAGUUCCCAUCUUAUGUUGAUGUUUUUGAAGAGGAAAAGAAAAUUGAAUCAAGUUCUACACCUGUGCUCUUUUUUUUUUUGUUUUAAAAUUUUUUUGGGUUUGUACAUUUUGUAAAAUGAGCAGCUUUUUAUCUUGUUACAGAAUUCUUUACCAACUACAACUACCUUUGGAGUAGUUGGGGGAACGCCUUUCAAGGAAGGCCCUCUGGUGGUGGUGCAGAUUAAGGGAUCGAAUCACUUGAUUUGUAUUUCACUAGCACCCAUUUGAUCCACCAGUAGAUUGUCCCUUCGGUUUUCUCUUGGUUCACUCUCUUUCUUUUUAGUAUAGAAGAAUAGGAGUGGAUAUAAAAUAGAAAUUAUUGUGUCCCAGAAAAAGAAGAUUAACGGGGUUUUAAAUGCAUCAUUAGUCAGGUUUUGGGGCAUAUCAGUUGAUAUUGAUCUAAUAACGAUGCACUCUUUCCAAUUUGGAAUGUUAGAUUAUUGAUGAUCCAUCAGCUCAACUGAUAAAUCGUAUGAAUGAUAAAUCAUUACCAUAUAAUACUCGGAAUUGAACAAGUUGUUUGCACCGUACCCGGAAUGAUUAAAGCUUGCUGAACAUGUUGUGCGCGUGCGGGAUGAGGACUGGCGGGUGGUUUGAUCAAAAUUGGACACUUGAAUACUGAGUCCAAGUCGCAGAAAAAGACUGGGCAGCUCUAAAGCUGUUGGUAUUGCUUGCACGGUGAAGUCGAGCAAAUCUGAGAUUCGAAGUGUUGAUUGAGCCAGUGGGUGGCGGAUGACUACACAACUACCACAUUGGUAGAUGGCAGAUGGUGACAAUAAUAGCCCUUUUUACUGCCGAAGGAGAAAGUGUGGCAGGAGUGAACUCGUUGAUAGAGCAUGUGAUUCCCUUACAAACUUGGAAGAGAUCCCUAGUUGGUGUCGUGAGUCGAGAGUUUGGUACUGAGAAUGAUUUAGUAACGUCCCACAAGGACACAAUUAUGUUCAAUGAUAUUCACGCGUGAAAUGAUAUAUCGGACCCAAAGGACGAAGGAGAAAAGAAAAAGAAAAAAAAAACCCAUAGAACGACUGAUACCUAGAUCCUAGACAUGAUCUCGCUGCAUCUUCAUCUUCUUCCUUUUUAAAUUUUUAUUUUCAUUUUUUUUUUGGGGGUGACAGUUGGGCUGGGUGGUGGACAGCAAAUCUGUAGUCAUUUGGUGGAUGCAGUACACGAAAGGGUAAAAAGUUCAGAAAGUUAAACCGUAAUGGGCUGUAGGCAUGCCGUUCUUUGACUUCGGCAAUGCUUAUAUCAGAUCCUGAUUGAACGACAGAUUUACGGUAAAAACGUCUUUGCGAAUACAUAGAUUGUGAACGAAUGUCUACACAUUAAAAGAGUUUCAAAAUCACACACUGACAAUUUUAAUGCAAUUUGCAAUAAACCGAUUUCAUCACACAAUUACAAUCACGUCUAGAGGGAUCUUGGCUUCAAGACAAUGGUGGAAUGCUUCAAAAUGUGCAGACUGAAUUGUCCACCCUUUUCUGCGGUAUCAAUCUUGGAUUGCCCUGGAGGAGGCAACAGCUCAAAAUUCUGCACCAAGCGUCCCAAAGUGAUACCAAGAAUUGGCAAUGCAAGGAUGAUUCCAGGGCAGCUUCUCCUACCAACACCGAAUGGAAGAUACCGGAAGUCGUUGCCAUUGGCAUCAACCUUAGACUCCUCUUCCAAAAACCUCUCUGGUCUGAACUCCUCUGGCUUCCUCCAGUUCUCUGGGUUGUUUGCGAGCCACCAAGCGUUGACCAAAAUCUUGCUCUCGGCAGGAAUAUCAUACCCGCCCAGCUUGGCUUCAUUGAGGUUCAUGUGAGGCACCAAAAGAGGAAUUGCCAUUCGAAGUCGGAGGGUCUCCUUGACCACAGCCUGAAGGUAUGGUAGUUUGAGGGUGUCGGGUUCAGUGACUUGCACACCAGGUCCAAGCACGGUAUCAAUCUCUUGUCGCAGUUUCCUCUGGACUUGUGGGUGGUUUACCAACUCCGCAAUGCCCCAUUCAAUUGACCACAACGUUGUCUCAAUAGCUGUUCAUGAAAAUUUAUUUAGUACUUUUUAAAGUCGCUGCAGAGUUUCAAGUUUGGGAAAGUAAAAAUCUCAAGAGUGUCAUCUGAUCUUUUUUCAAUCAUGCUUAGAUGUUCUACUGCUUUCAUCAAAUUUCAUUUCAGGCAAAAGGAAAUCAUAUUGUGGGCAUAAAGAUGAGCAGAAUUCUUUAUAGAUUGUAAAGCACUCCCAGUAAAGUAGUGAUUCCAGUCCAAGGUUGCACCAUUCAAGGCAUGAAUCAAAGUAAUUAUUGAAGAAGGUAGGUUACACUAACUAAUAACAAAGUACAUUAAAUGAAGGUAUUUAGAGAAGUUAAAAAUUAAAUAUAUUCUUCAAUUAAAAAGUGUACUAUAAUUUGAAAUGAAAUGAAUAAAAAAAAAAAAAACAAGACCAUAAGAGCGAGAAACAGACAGAGAAGUAUAAUUCUACAGCUUCUCUAGUGUUGAUGAUGCACAACAAACUUGGCCAGACAAUUUUAAUUGAUGAGGGAAUCGAUGAAAACAGAGGCCGAAUCACAGCAUCAGAAAUGAAUAUUGCAGUAGAUGAGAAGUAUCUGCAAAUGACAUCCAGAUCUGCCAGAGACGGCCAAAUUUAAGAAACUUUUACUUCUGAGUAAAAGGUGCAUGUUAGCCUUCUACUUCUGAGUAAGAAACUCUUUUUUUUUUUUGCUUUUUUUUCAGAAAAGGUAAAUGUUGGCAUAAAAAUGUGGCAGGAUUGCUUCAUGUACAUGAUGAUCUUUAUUUCAGUUUCAUUUGACAAUCAUAUAAUCCACUACCACAUUCUUUUACAGGCGGAAACACAGAAAAGGCAUACCAAACCUUAGUUACUUAUCCAGCAAUUCGUCAACUCCAGCCGAAAAGGUUUAAAUGAAAAGUGGUUCAUAAUCAUUGGAUUUCAUUUACUUGCACGUUUGGUGGUUGGUGGCUGAGUAGGAUGCUUCUAUUAGUGCGCUACUGCUAAUAAACUAAUGGCCAUCUAAUCUAAGAUGAAAGGGCUCUUAUCCAAAGGAAACAGUUCAUAAAAAGAUCCAAAGUGGGGCUGGGUAACAUCGAUGAAAAAGUUAAUGAAGUGAGAAGUUAACCUACCGGCAACAUUGAUGUUUUCCACAAUGUAAAGGACAUUGUCCUCGUUAAUCUCUCCCUUCUGCUGUGCUUCAAGAAUAUGAUCAAUGGCACAUUUUAGGCUGUGGCUAUCCAUGCUUGUUGUGCUUGCAAGCUUCCUGCAACCCAAAAAUACAAAGUAAGAAGCCAAGCUAUUAAGACUGUGACUAUUCAUUUGAUUCCAGUUUGUGCUGCAAAACAAGCAAGGCUGAAAGAAAAAAAAAUGGAAAACUAAUAAUCAUGCUUCAUUUCUGUUUGUUGAAAAAAAUAAUAAUACAAAUCAUUUCCAAGUCCUAGGAAAACAUUCCCACAAGCUAUCCAUACUUCAUAUUACAGCAAGAAGUACCAAUUUUGUUUUUUCUAGUUAAAUAAACAAGCAACGCUUAUCUUUUCUUUGUUCGUGAGAGGUUGUCACGGUCAAACGCAUAAACGAAAUAUCGCUAGAAAGUUCGAACAGGAAUCAGCCGACCCGACGUCAAAAGGACAACAAAUGCAUAAGACAAAAAGAUUCACCGAGCCAAGAAAAAAAAAAUUUUUUUCUUGGAUCAAACUCGACAUCCCAACUCCUAAGAUGCUUUUACAGGUCAGAAUCCAGAAACUCCUAAACUUUUCUUUAUUAGCACAUCUCCAGAAAAGGGUUUUCCCUAAAUACUCCAUCAAUCAUAAUAUAUACCCUAUCCAAAUAAUACUCUACAGUAAUUAUUCCAAAUAAUAAUAAUAUAUCCUUAGUUAAUCUAGGAGACUUUAAAAAAAAAAAAAAAAAAAAAAAAGUGCUACUUAUGUUAAUCGAACUACAUUAGAUCAAUGGAGUUCCAGAUAAGUAAUGUAUGAAGAGAAAAGUUCAGAAACUAAAACUUACUUCCUUUCGUCAACGAAGUGAUCCUUGAACAGCUGCAGCCUCCUCUCCUUAACCUCCUUACAGAUCUUCAAGUAACCCCUCAAGAAAGGCCUCAAGAUGGGAAUGAAAUCACCGUAAUUAUAUUCGAAGCUCUGAGCCAGCCUACUCCUCUCUCCGUUCAAAGCCUUAAAGCUUGUUAAACAGAGGAUCAUCCUCGCUCUCAAAUCGGUAAUCAAACAUGAUUCGGUACAUAUUAUUGUACAUCAUGAGCUGCAACCUCCUCCUCAAGACAAUCCCAUUGGUGGAGGAUUCAGGGUUCUUCUUAACAUCCUCCACGACACGGGCAACCUCU